rnacentral:lncRNA from 1 species
CUUGUUAAACAUAUGUCUUUGAUACGAUACGAUGUUAAUUCAUUUUAUUUUAUUCUUUACCAGUAUUACGUUAAGAAGUCCAUUUGCACGCACCCCCUUUUGAGCAUGGGAACGUACGCCAGAAUCCAGCUCAGCAAGGGGAGAAACCUAGUAUUUUGCAAAUGAGGAGGGAGUUGGAGCGGAUGAAAUCGGCUCUCGAAACGAAAGGCCGCCUUUUUCAACCGCAUAUGAAAGACUAUCUCUUAAAAGAGAUUACGCUCCUCACUAACAAAAUAAGCUUCAAUAUGCUCUUUCAGAUAUGGUACAUUUGCACCCUCUAUACACAUCGGAAAAUCCUGCGCUGACGAAAAGGAAUGUGUAGGCAGGUGAUUAAAUUUACUCUUGGAAAGAAAAACGGAGAAUGUUUUCAACCGCAUUUGAAAGACUCUCUUUUAAAAGAGAUUCCAUUUUUGCAGAGUCGUAUUCGUCUUAGUGACAACAUGAAAGAAGGAUUUUUUGUAUUUAUAUGUUUUUUCGUGCAAUCGAUUAUCUACUGAUGAGUUGAUGUACCUGUAUAUAUUUUUGGGUAAAAUAUACUUCUUUUUACCCCCGUGUAAUAAGCUCAAUCGAGAGUUGUAUUCGACUUAGUGACAACAUGAAAGAAGGAAUUUGUAUUUAUAUGUUUUUUUUUUGUCUAAUGAAUUAUUUACUUAUGAGUUGAUUUAUUUCAAUUUGAUUUGUUCAUUGUGAAAAUACUGUGUGUAUGUAUUUUUGGGCACUAUGGUUUAUGGAAUGGCAACGAAUAUAUGCAAGACGAAAAUUACUAAGUGCAAGACCUUACUUUAUGCAAGACUAAUAUAUAAAUAAAUUUACUAAGAUCAAGAUUGGAAAUUACAAAUAUAACCCCAAUAUUAAUUUAGAUAUUAUUAAUUCAAAUUAGGCUAAUUGCUAUUGCAAGACAAAAAAAAAAAAAAAAGGAAUAAAGAAAAGGAAAAAAGAGGGAACUCACUCCCCCAACAAAACCCCAACACUCAUAUUACACACUUUUUUCCACAAAAAAAUCUUCCAUAUUCUCCAAAACCCUCAUCACACAAAUCCCUCAAAUCUUACUAAAACUUGAAAAGAAGGACAUUAUGGAUACACAAGACAUAAAUAUGGAGGAUUUUAAGGUCGAAGAACACAAAAAGGUAAGAAAUAUUGUACUUUGUGAUCGUUUUUCUCGUUUUUCGCACCUCAUUUCACGUACAAAAAAUUCGACAUGUACAUGUCGAAAUAUGCUCCGAAUAUCGACACAUUAGUGUCGAAAAUUUCAACAUAAAUCGACACUCUUUUCUUGUCGAUUUUUAUUGAAUUUUUCAACACUGUGGUAUCGAUAUUCGGUGCAUAUUUCGACACUGGUGUGUCGAUUUUUCACUGUUACAAUUGUUUAACCAAAAAUCGACACCAAUAUGUCGAAAUAUUUCCAAAAAAUCGACAAGUACAGGUCGUUUUUUGUAAAAUCGCAACUCCUUCAACAAUAGUGCUAGAAUCGAACCCUAAAAUUAUCAACUAUGUUCUAAAAUGACUUGUAUUCAUUAUUCUAACAAUAAAAUCAUGUUUAUCACAUUUUAUUUCUCAAAAAAAAUUAACUCAAAAAGUAAUUUUCUUACUUUCUUUUCGUGAGACUGCUGUGGCGGGGUUGAGGCAACAACAGUUGCAGGUGGGGAGGUUCUAGUGGUUGUCGACUGCAACGGCGACGGGGCGACGGCGAAGGGCGGCAGCGAGUGCUGCAAUUGAUUUUUUUCCCUUCUUCCCUCCUCGUUUUUUAGUUCUCAUUUUUCAAUUUAUUUUUUCUUUCUUUUUUUAUUAAUUUUUGUUUUUUAAAUUAGUCUUGCAAAAGUAAAUUAAUAAAAGAAUUUUAUUUUUUUUGGUAUUUUACUAAGGCUAUUAUAGUCUUUUUAUACUUAGUUUGAUAAAAAAAAAAUUAAUUUGGUCUUGCUCUAAGUAAGUUUGUGAUUGCAAAUAGUCGCUGUCUUAUGGAAUAUUUACCCCUUUUAAUUUGAAAAUUGUCAUUUACCCCUCAACUAAUGAGUCAACCUAUUUGACUACUAAAAUAGUGAGGUGGUUUAAAUGAAAUGUAAUUUUAUCCUCAAAAUUUUACAUCAUUUUUUAUUAGGUUGAGGCUAUAUGCAAGACUAAUUUCACUUGUGCAAGAUCAAAUUAAAAUUUUCAAUAUAUAAAUACUAUAAUACCCUUAUUUGUUAAAAAAUAGAAAAUUUCAAAUGUGCAAUACCAAAAACUCAAAAACAAAAAAAACUCUAUCACAAAACCACAAAACCAACUCUCAUAAAUCUUUCUCCUUCCUCAUCUAUAAACCCACAAAACCUAAACAUUCAAAAUCAUCAAAACUCAACAAAUCUUACAAAGAUGGCAAGUAUGGAGUCAAUAGACAUCAAAAUAGAAGAAUCUACGGUAGAAUAAUCCAAGAAAUUAUGCAUUUAUGUGUUUUUUUUAGCUAGAAUAUCGUUUUUCCAAAAACAAUCCCGCGCAGACACAGUCGACGUGUACAUGUCGAAUUUUAUAGGCAAAAAUCGACAAUGAGAUGUCGAUUUUGUAGUACAAAAUCGACACCUUAGUGUCGAAAUUUAAUUGUUAGUAAAUUAGGCUAAAUAUACUAAAUUUCGACAUUAAGGUGUCGAAUUUAUGGACAUAUAUUCGACACCUUAAUGUCGAAAUUUAGUUGUUUCAUAUUUCGACAUGUACAUGUCAAAUUUUAUAGGUAAAAAUCGACAUUGAGAUGUUGAUUUUGGAGUACAAAAUCGACACCUUAGUGUCGAAAUUUAACUGUUAGCAAAUUAGUCCAAAAUUUACUAAAUUUCGACAUUAAGGUGUCGAAUUUAUGGACAUAUAUUCGACACCUCAAUGUCGAAAUUUAGUUGUUUCAUAUUUUAUUAUUAUUUGUUAUUUGGUCUUGCAUGAGCAAACAAAAACCAAUUUAAUUUAUGGGUAUAUUUGUCAUCUCAUCUUAAUAAAAUAGAAUAUUUUGGAAUCUUUCUUUAAUUUGGUCUUGCACAAGUGAAAUUAGUAUUGCAUAUAGCCGCAGCCUUUUUAUUAUUAUUGUCCUUCACACAUGAUACCUUAUUUUUAUAAUAGGAAAUUAAUUUUUAUACUGUGAAUAAAUUUAAAUAAAUGUUUUGGGUUAGUUUCAUUUUUUAAAUUGAUAAAAUUAUUUACUUUAAUUAUUAUUUUAAAAAAAAUAUUUUUAACAUUAAAAUUUAUAUAAUUAGUUAUAACUAGAAUUUAUGUAAUUUGUAAUUUGAAGUCCAAAUGUUUUUUUUUUUGUUGGAUUAAAUUUCAUUGAAUUAAUAUAAAGUGUAUAUUGUGUUGAUUUUUUUAUUCAUGAAAUCAAUUUAUAAAUAACAUUGAAAAAAAAUAUAUGAUUAAAGUAUUACCAUUAUCAUAAAGGCUAGUACCAAUCUCUUAAUUAGGAAUUAUUAUAACUAGCCUAUAUUAAAUCUCAUGUGGAGAAUAAUGUUAAAUGUUGUGCUAAAAUUUUAAAUAACGAAAAUAUUUCCGAUUUUAAGAGUGAGUUAAAUGGCAAUUCGAUUGGUACUUAUAAUAUAAGACCCGAUCCCAAAAGGAUAAAAAUAAUUUUAUGUAAAAUCAUUUGAUUGUUAUAGAAAAUAAAUGGCAGUGGUUUGGGUUGAUGCAGAUACAAUUAUUCGUCUGCUCUUAUUCUCGAAAACAGAAGUUGAAACUUUAUAAUUUGAAAUCAUUAUUCGAAUAAAGAUUAAAUUUAAUUAAAAUAAAGCCGCAAUUUUUCCCAGCCAUUUAUUUUUUUGUUAACCAGUAAAAACACAGUUCAAUUUUUGGAUUGAAAAAAUGAUUCGGAAUUUGUAAAUAUUUUUUGAAUUAAGGGGUUUAUACAUUUUUUAUUCGAGGUGAAUUGAAAAACAAAAAUAGUCUAGAUUAUACUAGAUCCUCUACCAUAGUCCAGUUUCGAACCCUUUAAAGCGUUCUUUGUGAGAUCACAUUUUACUUGUAACUUAUAUAGCACGGACAUGAAAAAGGUGAUACGGAAAAACUGACACGGGGAAAUGAUAUAUUCUAAAAAUGAAGAUAUGGGAACUCGGGGGAAAUGUGUGACUAUUAAAAUUAUAGGGGUAUAAUUAUAAAUAUAUAAACUUAUAUAAGUUUUUAUUUAUAUAUGAAUUAUUUUAUAUUUUUUCACACAAACAUAUUCAAAAUGAAUUGUACUAUCAAUCAUCGAUUUGAAAUUGAUCAUUAAAUCGUGUAAAUAAUUAGGGAAACAACAAAACUAUUUAAAUAUUUGCUAUUCAAACAUGUUUACAACUUUCAAAAAUUAUAAAUUGGCCAUAAUGUGUCUGGCAAGUGUUCUCGGGUAUUCGAAACGUUAAAAGUUAAAGUUUCCGUACUACAUAGCUGAUAACAUAUUAGUGAGAGGUUGGGGUUUAAACCAUUUAAAGGUUGUUUAUUAAUUAUUGAUGGACAACAAUAUUAAUUAUUAAAUAUAAUAAAAAUUGUGAGUAGACAUCACCACCAUAAGGCGAAGAGAAACGUUUUGGAUUCUUCAAUUUGAAAACAACAAUAAUAAAAGGAUUUAACUGCAACAAGUGUUAAUUAGAGGGGUUGAGGUGAUAUUAACUCUUAUUUCAAGGGGUUUAAACUAUAAUAAAUACAUACUUACAAAUUGAUCAAAUAAGCCCUUUUCCGAUGAUCAGUUUAAUCUCUCUCUCCUCACUAAACCCCGUACGUCAUGCCAACCGUCGCCGCCGUCACCCGCCGUUAUCCGUUCGCCGCCGUGGGAGGAGGAGACUGCGAAGGCGGCGAUGGAGCUGGUGAAGAGAAACACACAUGCCAACAACAGAGCUCUGAUUGUUGAUUUGCCGCGAGCCUUUAAAGGAUGGCUAUUUCCAGAUUGUAAGCCAUGAAAUUUACUGUUUGGGGCUAAUUACGGUUAAAAGUCCAUAAAUUAAUACAGCCGGGGCUUGCAAAAUACUGUUAAUUUAGCGAAAUAUUACAUUAUCGAAGCUUCUACUGUAUGUGGAAAUGUAAUUGCAUUACUGUUUGCCUUUCUUAUGAUACAAUUAUGUUAAUUGUAGUUAGAAACUAUGGAGAACAUCUGGCUGCUGUUAUAUUUAUAUAUACUUAAUUACUGUUUAACAUGAUUUUUGGGUAAUUGGUCGAAUAUGUUGGUGAGUAUUUUGGUGAUUAUUGUAUUUAUUUACUAUAAUUUGUUUUUUGGUUAUUGUGAUAAUAAUGCCCUAAAUGUGCCAACUGCUGCAAUUUCUGUUGUCGUACAUUAAUUUUUAUCUCCCCAGAAACUCCAUGGUCGUAGGUUAUAGAAAGGCGUGUUACGUUGUUUGACUUACAAUCUUGCAUGCGUGGCUAUCCUGCUUCUCUCUGUUGUAUUAGCUACUAUAGGAUUAGCAUCAAUUUUCUACUCCUUUACUAUAAGUUGUUUUGUAAAAAAAGUUCAAAUGUUUUUCGACCAACAACCUGAAAGAAUUCAAUGUGAAUUGAAUGAUACGUAUGGGUUAACAUCCUUCUUAUCACUGUUGAUUCUAUACACCUUCUGUGUUAUGUGCAUCUUUAAUACAUAUGUGAUCUUCCCACGUCUGUUUUUUAUUAUAUUUGUAACCAUGGAAACUCGAGGUUUGAAGUCAUUAUCAAAUUUCUGCUAAUUUUGCAACUGGUGAAGUUAAUCUAUGUCACAUAUUCUCUAUAGGAAAUUCCACGUCCAAAAAUUAUGACAUCUUAUUGGUAACUUGAUGGUUCGUACUAAUUUUACUUCUCAUUAUUUGAAGGAAUAUGGGGCAUUAUCGCGAGUUGGCGAGAGAUGUGUUUUCAGAAUCAGGUAAUAAUUUAAUUUGGAUGUUGAAGAGUAGCUUUAGUGCUCAUAAGCUGUUUGAUCUCAAUCUGGUAUAGAGACUACAAAAGUUUGGGUUGAGUUUCAAAGUUAUAUGCUUCUAAUCAAAACAACAUCAGAUAUCUAUAAAAUAACCUUUUAGCUUAUUGAGCAGAAAUCAAGCUAAACUUGAUAAAUAUCCUAUUGCUAAUAUGAUAUCAAAAUUGAACAUUCCUAGAAAAUUAAUCCGAAAAGGUAUACUUAGCAGUUGGGUAGAUGUCUACGGUUUCGUAAACCGACCGAACCAAAACCAAAGCUUUAAUUUGUACCGAAUAUUGAACUGCUAUUAUCCUGUUUGAUAUUCGCUUUCCGUAUUUCACAGUUUUGGUUCGGUACUGAUACUUUUGGUUUAAGUUUACGCAACUGAACUGUGCUUUUAGAAAAUCCUUCUUUGUACAUAUAUGAUUGAAGAAGAGAUUUUUCCAUGUAUACAAUCAUUCCUGGUAUUGUCAUAUGUCUUCUUAUUAGCUAGUUUUUGUUCUUUUCUUCCAUCAUAGAAAAUGCGAGUUAAUAAGUUUAAAAGUUUUUUUUUUUUGUUUAAUUCAUUUGCAAUUUUACAUGUAACCCAGAAUUUAAAUAGAGAAUAAUGGUGUAGGCUGGAAGAGCAAUCAAGACCAAGAUGAAAUUUUGGAAAUUUCCAAAGAGCAAUCAAUACCAAGAAUGGCAGUCGGUUUUCAGUAUUGCCAAAAAAUAUUUGGUAUAGUUUACAUGCUACUCAGUUUGGUUGAUGAAAUAUAAUUAGUUGUCUCAUUUAUCAGAAAAUUCACUUAUCCCGGGAUCUUUACGAAUUUACCGAACCACACCAAAUUGUUUGGUUUUGGGUAUUAAGUGUCGUAAAAUGCAAAAUGAUAUUUCUGUUUUCUAAUUUUCGGUUUGCUGAAUGCACAGGCCUUUUGGCUGUGGAUAUUGGGCUUAGAUACUCUUUCAGAAAUCCAAGAAAUGGAUCGUAGAAGUUCAAAACCGUAGUAAAGGUACUGUCAAGCCCAUCCAAUACAUUUUGUUUCCGUACAUUGCUGCCAGCUAAGAAUUAUUAAUGCUAAUACGUCAAAUGAGUUGGCGAGUUGGUGGAUGGAUAAGUCAGAAUUUAUUGCAAUUGACUGUCGACCGUAUCACGGCAGAUUUUCUCACCAUUAUAUAACACGCAUUCUCCGUGCACCAAUUCAUUCACCAUAUCUCCAUGUCUCUCUGCUUUCAGUUUUCUUCCCAUCAUUUUCUCUGAUUUAAGGCUUUUGCUUUAUUUUUGGUUGAAAAUCGGAUGAGAUUUGUGUUAAUAUUUGUAAGUUUUAGUUUGAUUUAGUUUUAGAAUGAUGCCUAUAUCUUUUUCUUAUUCUUGUUACACCCCCCCCCCCCCCCCCACCAAGCUGCAUUCUACCUUCAUUUUUCCAUCGUGUAAUCAUUUUCUCGGAUUCAAGGAUUUUGAUCUAUUUCUGGUUCAAAAACAAAGGACGUAUCUGAUUUGACAUACAUCAUUUUUUUUUUGAAUUUUGUAAUUUUCGAUUUUUCAUUCCCGGUCGCCUAGUUGUUUCUGUCCAUUUCUUUUUGUCUACUUUUCAUUCAAUUCUACCUUGGAUUAAUGAUAGAUCUCAUCUCGAUUUGAAGAUUAGUUUUCUAGGACAAGUUUUUGUGUCAUAGUUACGUUGCUUCUCUUUCUGAUGAUUUUUUUCCCUUGUAGAGUUAUCCAUGAAGAAAUAUCCUCUGCUGGAAAUAUGCAGAGGAACGAGCUCAAUUUUAAGGUAAAUUUCAUGAAGUCAAUUAUGACAGAUCUCUUAGAAUCAAAGAAUGAUAAACAGAGAACAACAGGGAUCUGUUGUUGUUUUUCAAAAAGAAAAUAUAUAGAAAUGAUUUAGUAAAUAAACUUAUCUUAAUUAACUUAAUCAACAGAUCUUACAUUAGAUACCCAUGUGAAAUGGAAGGAAGCUAUCUAUAUUUCUUUUUGAGAGGGUUAUAUCCGGAACUGUAGAUCUCUUAUAAUUUCACUCUCGUAAAGUAAGAUAUUCAAAAACUGAGGACAAUGAGUUCUUAUGUUAACAUGCUUGUCUUUGGGUAUGACAAAGGAAAAGAAGCGACUCAAACAACUGUCAUCACUGCCACAAUAAGGACAAAGAAAAUUUCCUACAGAUUCGGCGACGCAGUUUUCGUACCUGCUGGCUGCCCUCACCAAGCUAGAAAUCUAAAGGUUUGAAUGUCUGGCUCGUAUACAACUUCGUGAACAACUUCAAUUGUUUUUCAGUCGAAUAUACAUUUUAUUCGCUGCGAAUUUCGUAAUUAAUAUUUGUGUACGAUGUUCCAUCUUGCAGUCGUGCACAAGUAUGUCUAUCGACUUUGUUUCAGCAGAAAGUGUCGGUGAGUGCAUCCGCCUGUCAAUGGAAUAUCGGUCGACUCCCUCACAAUCAUAGUUCUAAGGAAGACAAAUUGCAGGUAUGUAAAAUAAUAUGAUUGUCUUGUCAAUAACUAAAAUCGGAGAUAUAUAUAAUGAAUAAAAAUUUGUCUGCUUGUAAGAAAAAUAAAGAUUGCGGACGACAUCUAACGGCUCGUAAUAAAACAGGUGAAGGGAUUGGUUCUCAGCGCUGUACUUGGACAAGAUUGAUGCGUAAGUCAUAUAUGCUUGUUAAACAUAUGUCUUUGAUACGAUACGAUGUUAAUUCAUUUUAUUUUAUUCUUUACCAGUACUACGUUAAGAAGUCCAUUUGCACCGUACGCCAGAAUCCAGCUCAGCAAGGGGAGAAACCUAGUGUUUCACAAAUGAGGAGGGAGUUGGAGCGGAUGAAAUCGGCUCUCGAAACGAAAGGCCACCUUUUUCAACCCCAUAUGAAAGACUAUCUCUUAAAAGAGAUUCAGCGCCUCAUUGACAAAAUAAGCUUCAGUAUGCUCUUUCAGAUAUGGUACAUUUGCACCCUCUAUACGCAUCGGAAUGUACAUCGGAACCCUGCGCUGACGAAAAGGAAUGUGUUGGCAGGUGAUUAAAUUUACUCUUGAAAGAAAAAACGGAGAAUGUUUUCAACCGCAUAUGAAAGACUAUCUUUUAAAAGAGACUCGCUAACAAAAUAAACUCCAUUUGCAGAGUCGUAUUCGUCUUAGUGACAACAUGAAAGAAGGAAUUUUUGUAUUUAUAUGUUUUUUUUUAUAAUGAAUUAUUUACUGAUGAGUUGAUUUAUUUCAAUUUGAUUAGUUUAAUCUCUCCUCACUAAAUUCCCAUAUGUGGAAGUGCAAUACCCAUGCCAACCGUCGCCGCCGUCACCCGCCAUUAUCCUCCGCCGCCGUGGGAGGAGGAGACUGCGAAGGCGGCGAUGGAGCUGGUGAAGAAAGAAACACACAUGCCAACAACAGAGCUCUGAUUGUUGAUUUGCUGCGGGCCUUUAAAGGAUGGCUAUUUCCAGAUUGUAAGCCAUGAAAUUUUACUGUUUGGGCUAAUUACGGUUAAACCUCUAUAAAUUAAUACAGUCGGGGCUUGCAAAAUACUGCUAAUUUAGCGAACUAUUAAAUUUAUCGAAGUAGUAAUUUUAAUAUGUUUUUACCGGGUCGGACCGUGAGAAAUUAUUAUUUAAGCGAGGUUAUUAAUUUAUCGAGGUUCUACUGUGUGUUGAAAUGUUAUUGCAUUACUGUUUGCCUUUCUUAUGAUACCAAUAUGUUAAUUGCAGCUAGAAACUAUGGACAACCUCAUGUUGCUGCUGUUAUAUUUAUAUAUACUUCAUUACUUUUUAACAUUUGGUCGAAUGUGUUGGUGAGUAUUUGUUGAUUAUUGUUUUUAGUUACUAUAAUUUUUUUUUGGUUAUUGUGAUAAUAAUGCCCUAAAUGUGCCAACAGCUGCAAUUUCUAUUGCCGUAUAUUAAUUUUUAUGUCCACAGAAACUCCAUGGUCGUAGGUUAUAGAAAGGCGUGUUACAUUGUUUGACUUACAAUCUUGCAUGCGUGGCUAUCCUGCUUCUCUCUGUUGUAUUAGCUGCUAUAGGAUUAGCAUCAAUUGUUGUUUCUCCUUUACUAUACGUUGUUUUGUUAAAAAAAAUCAAAUGUUUUUCGACCAAAAAACCGAAAGAAUUCAAUGUGAAUUGAAAGUACGUAUGGGUUAACGUCCUUCUUAUCACUGUUGAUUCUAUACACCUUCUGUGUUAUGCGCAUCUUCCCACGUCUGUAUUUUAUUAUAUUUGUAACCAUGGAAACUCGAGGCUUGAAAUCAUUAUCAAAUUUCUGCUAAUUUUGCAACUGGUGAAGUUAAUCUAUGACACAUAUUCUCUAUAGGAAACUCCUCGUCCAAAAAUUAUGACAUCUUAUUGGUAACUUGAUGGUCCCAACUAAUUUUACUUCUCCUUAUUUGAAGGAAUAUGGGGCAUGAUCGAGAGGUGGCGAGAGAUGUAUUUUCAGAAUCAGGUAAUAAUUUAAUUUGGAUGUUGAAGAGUAGCCUUAGUGCUCUUUUAAGUGUCAAAUAAUCGGAAAGUGCUUCAUCUGAUAACAUUUAUAUGAAAAACCAAAUGUCGCAGAUAUGAAUGCGUGACUUAGUUAUUCAAGACUAAAGUAUAUGUUAAUAAAGCUAUUAGUUACUAUAUGUCUUCAGUUAAUUUGUUCAAGUAUUGAUCAAAUAUAUUAUACACAAUUGCAAGUGAUAUUACUCUUCGAUAUGUUCAAACAUCUCAAAAGAACUUUGGUUUUAGGAAAAGAAAUCCUGCCUGAUAUUUGGAAGGUAAAACAAUCGGGAAUGAGGUUUUUAGCAUCACACCUUGAGUUUUUGCUUUUUUCAUACCUAGGUAAACUAAAUUAAUGGCUCAAGGAAGUUCACAAUAGACUGUGUGGUACAUUUCAUAUCUCGCCAAAUGUCAUUUUGCUGACAGCUAUGGUUGGUGUAACUGCUAAUAUGUAAAGUUAGCUGGCAUCGUCACUGGAUAUGAAGCAAUUUAUUAGGGGUCGAUACAAUCAAUGCUGACCUUAUCGAUUUACUGGCGGAGUUUCCCACAAAUAAAUUUUACCCUCCCCUCCCUCCCUACUCCCAUUCUUCUAUCUCGCCCAUUCUCUCCACCUCUGUAUCCCUUGUUCAAUUUUCCAUCUUCGUCUCCUCAUUUUCUCAAAUUAAAAGCUUCUGUUUUGUUUGUGGUUCAGAAUCAGAAGAGUUUGUUAUCUGAUUUAGGUGAUUUUAUAUUACCUUUUCUUGUUUUUCCCUUUUUUUUUUUCUUAAACUAGAUGAACUGAGUUUGCUAUCUAAUUUCCACCACUUUCAUGUUACAUUUCAUGACACGAUAUGUUCUAUUUUAGAUUAAAAAAGAACAUGUGUUUGUCAUAUUGAUUUUGAAGAUUAUAUUGUAUGAUUAGUUUUCUUACUCCUCCUUGGUGAUUAUUUUAUCGUUUAUGUUGUAGAAACUAACAAUUUUGAAAAAAACAUUCUUCUAUAAAUAAGGUUGGUUUAAUCACUGCAUGUAUUCUUACUUAUAAUUAAAACUUAAAAUAAUAGAUGUAUAAUUAGAGUGGUGCAAUCCUUAUGAAGAAACCAAUAACCACUAUUAUAUAAUUUAUAUUUUUUUUCCUUACAUGAUUAUGAGCCAUUUGAUGAAGUUAUUAAACUUGUACUCAUAUGUUCUUGAAUAUAAUCCUUUAUGCUCUAUUGUAAUCAUGUAUUCAAAUCAAAGUAUAUCAUUAAUGGUUUAAAAUUGUUGUUAUUCUCUGUUAGUCUUUAGGUUACAACAUUUUCAUGCCUUGAAAUAGGUUUCAUAACCUGUAUCUCCCACUUUUUUUUUGUUGGUAGAAUUUAGAGGACAAAAAUACAUUAGUCGGCAUAGGUUAUGUGAACAUAUUAAAAAUUUAAUUAUAAUGGUUGAAAUAUUUAUUAAUAGAUUCUGGUGCACCAAUUUUAUUGUCAGUGUGCAUAAGUAGUAAGUAGCAAUAAUUUAAAACAAAUAUUUUUCUUAAAAUGUCCUUAAGGAAUCCUAAUUUGAGAUUUUUUUUUCUGGGGCCCUCCUUUUUACAGGCAUGGUAAGUAAAAACGUUUUUGGUUAGUGAGAAGGAAAAUGAUUUAUAUAUUUAUAUGAAUCAGCAUAAGAUUGCAAUAGUCAGUAUUAUAUUGCAGUAAUAUGUAUAAGUUUGCAAUAGUCAACAUUAUAUUGCAGUGAGCAGUAUCGGAUUACAGUAAUCAACACAAUUUUCCUUUUUUGCUGGUAAGACCUCCUUAUUUCAUUUUCCCUGGAACAAUUAUGCAUACAUUUUGCCAUUGCAGUUAAGAGAACAAUUGAAAACCAAGAUUUAUCAAGGCAAUUAAUUUUCGGGGAGUUAAAAUGAUGCCGUCGAGAAGUACAAAUGGAGAAACAUCUUCUGCUGGAAAUAUGCAAAUGAACAGACACAACUUAAAGGUAAAUUAAUAAUGUUAAUUGUAGAAUUAAAUUGCUAUAAGAUUUGAUAUAAGCAUAUAGGUUGCAGAAUUCGGUUAUCCGUGCAAUUGUCUUGUAUCAAAUACUUUUUAGAAGUAAAAAAAUCAAAUUCCAUUUUGUGUUUGUCUUUUCAAUGAGACCCCAUGUGUAAAUACCAAAUUAGAAAAACCUUUCUUUCAGACUAUUUAUAGUGAAAUUACUUUGACUAAAUACAUUUAUAUAUACAGCAGGGGGACCGGUAAGUGUGGAUUCUUCGAUUUUGUGAUGUUGGUCUUGAAUUAUUUAGUAUUCAAUCAUGAAGUGUUUAAUUUAAAAAAUGUAUCUUUGUAAUUUUAAUCGAUAGAUCUAACAUUAGAUAUGUGUGUGUGUGUGUGUGUGCGCGCGCGCUCAUGUGUGUGUGUAUACGCAAUUUUAGAGUAAAUGCAUACAAAUUUUGGAUGAUCUGUCAUAAUUUCAUAAUAUUCGAAGGCGUUUAAAUGUUGUUCUGAAAUAACUUGAUUACGGCAGAAAACGAUGACAUGUCACAACAAUUAAAGUUAAGACCCUAAAGAAGAUUAAAUCCAAAACUGCGGAUCUCAUCUAAUUCAUUCCAUUGCCAACUUUUCAUAAAGUACUAUAUAAAAAAUCGAGGAUAUACUCUAUGUUAAUAUGUUUUUCUUUGGAUGUGGCAGAGGAAAAGCAUCGACUCGACCAAUUGCCAUCAAUGUCAUAGAAAUGACAAAGAAAAAGUUGUACGAUGCACCAAGUGCAAGCAUAGGGGUUAUUGUAUUCUCUGUAUCAAUAAAUGGUGAGAAAUUUUGUUGCUUGAUAUAUUUUUUGUUGCUCUUAUGUUGGUACUUGGUAUAUCUUACAUGGUGGCUUAUAUUUUGUAAUAUGGAUAAAUGUCAUUUAAGUCAUACUGAUUAAUUUUGAGUUUUACCGCCACAAAGCAGGAUGGUAUAUUUAUUAUCUUCUCUUUGGAAUAUACCUACUACCCAUUUAGUCAUUUAUGAAUGAAUUUUUGCUUAAACAUGUUUCAAAGUAAGGGCUUCCCUUGGUUCUACACUUACAUUAUUCCUGCAUUUUCUUCAAUAUAUAUAUAUAUAUAUAUAUAUAUAUAUAUAUAUAUAUAUAUAUAUAUAUAUAUAUAUAUAUAUAUAUAUAUUUUAUCGUCGAUAUACUAUAUCUCUGUGGUACACACAGAUACAGAGGCUGCAAGAGGCAGACUUUGCUGAAGCAUGCGCAGGCUGUCGCAAAUUGGCAACUGUACAGCUGGCAUACAUUCUGAUCUGGAGAAUAAAGUUAGUAUUAAGGUUCUUCUCUUGAUUUUAUAUUAAUAUAGGAUUAUAUGUUUUCUAAUUAAGUCUCUUGUUCUUGCAUGUUAGGAUUUGUUCAAACCAGACUUGCAGCUCGACAUCAACAAAAAGGUCCAGUACUCAAAGUAUAUUAUUAGAGUACUUCUUCCUUCGUUUAGGAAGUUUGUUGUUGAGCAGAACAUAGAAAGAGAAGAAGAGGCAAGAAUUCAAGGUAACUUUAACUUUUGUUAGGAGGUUUUGCUUAGAAAAUUAUUUUGAUAUCUCUUAUCUUCUUGUUACUGAUAUGGAUUUUGAUGCCUCCAAACGAAACCGAAGUGUCUUAAAAUGGUAUUUAAUGGCACUAUGCAUCAUUGAAGUUUCAGGAUGAUUUUUUCUAAUAAUAUUAAUUUAUGCCGUGUAGAAGUGUUGAACAUAUUUAAUGUUUAUCGUACACUACUUGUUUCCUGAAGAUCUAUGAGUUUAAAAGUGAGAUUCUUAUUUUAGGCGUGCCUUUGUUUGUGUUACUAAACACCCUGGAAAACAGCACAAAAAUCUAAAUCUAAUUUUCUUGUCUGUAUCAAUUCUACUACGACGAUCCAUCACCACUGCCUCGACCAUUAUCCCGCCAAAAAUGUAUAUUCACUGUUUAUUCGAAAGAUAGAAUAAAUAUGAAAAAUAUUUUAUAUGUUAAUAGUUUCCGUUAAUUGUAUGUGCUACUCCAUUUCAGUGAUUUAUGAUUUUGAGGUAUUAGUGAGACGUACCUGGAGAUAAACACUAUUGAUAGAACUCUUAAUUUUCCCUAGCAGAUGUAGUUUCGUUGUUUGAUUAAUUAUAAUAUAUAUAUUUUGGUUGGGCAGGUGUUUCAGUUGCGGGACUACAGCUUCCGAAAGCCAACUUUAUCCACGACGAUAAAGUCAAAUGGUGGAUACUUUUAACCUAUGCCCUUUUCCUGAUAAAUGUUUGCUCCAGUAUGGAAAAUGUUGAUAAUUAUAACUUGUGCUGUGCAGUGACAACUGUAAGACUGCAAUAUUCGAUAUCCACAGAAGUUGUCUAAACUGCAUGUACAAGCUCUGCGUAACUUGUUGCCGAGAGAUAAGGAAUGGCUUCCAAUGGGGAAAUGAUAAAUAUCACGUUCAUCAUGGGGGUCGUACUUUUACAAGCAAUGAUAGAUUUUCUGCAGCAGCCUGUUGCUCUAUGGACCACACGAGUUUUACUUCUGAAUGGAAGCUGAUAGACAGAAGUACCAUAGUUUGUCCACCUGAAAUUAUGGGGGGAUGUGCUCAUGGGAAUCUGGUGUUAAAGUCCACAUAUCCAGAUAACUGGGUAUCGGAACUGCUAAUUAAAGCAGAGUCCAUAGAUCUCGAGGUGGGUGAAGUUUCCGAAGAAGCAUGCUCAUGUUCAGGGACUGCAGUCCGUAAUAUCCGCUGUCCCAAAGUUGUGGGCGUUGACCAAAAGCACUUCCAACGGCACCUAUAUAAAGGUGAGCCUGUGAUAGUUCCUGACGUGCUCAGCAGAACGACUGGGUUGAGUUGGGAGCCAUUAGUCAUGUGGCGUGGUUGCCGCAAAUCCAGAAGGACUAAUGACGCUCGCAUUCUGGAAUUCAGCGUAACAAAUUGUGUAAAUUGGUGCAAGGUAUGCCGACUUCUCUAUUAUGUUUUACUCUAUCAAUCAAAAAGUUUUAAUUUGUAAUUUGUGAUUGGACUUCGCUUAUUUUACAUCCUUUUAAUCGUAUACCUCUUUUUUUUUUUUUUUGUUUUUCACAGUCAUGGUCUUAUUUCUUGUAACUGUUUCUAGGUUGUAUUCUUUAUGUUCUUGAGCAUUCACUUGCUGCAUAUGUAAUCUUUCAAAAGAAGGACUAAGUAACAAAAAUACUAAUCUCUUAUCGUCCUUAGUUUCGGUGCAAAUUUCUCUUCAUAUUGUAUCAACCUUCAAAAUGUCAAAACUUUGGUUGGGUUAAUAAGUGUCUAACACGAAUUUGGAUAGGAUAAAGCAAAGAUCUGACAAUUCGUCGUACUCGACAUGUUUCUUAAAAUAGAGAUGUUUUGAUAGAUUUGUUCUUGAUGUUUGUUUUCCUAUUUAAUUGAAAUGAGACCGAUAUAUACGUCGCCUUUACCCUUUUUAUUCGCUAUGUUAAGUGUCACUUCUUAUGUAGGUUUUAGUCUGUCAGUUCCUAUGCAUUAUGCACGUGUACUUUUGUUUUCAUUAGCUUAAAGAUGUGGUGUUGUAAUGAUUUGAUUUUCGGGCUAUGACACGCAGGAAACUAUAAACAUGCACCAAUUUUUCAAUGGGUAUUCUGAAGGCCUCUUGGACAGUGAAGGCCGGCCCAAAAUUUUGAAGUUGGAGGAUUGGCCUCCAACUGAAUCCUUUCAAGAACGGCUGCCUCGGCAUUUUGUAGAGUUCAUUAGAUGCUUGCCGUUCAAGCUAUACACACAUGAAGCUGGCUACCUCAACAUGCCAGCGAAAACGCCGAAGAAGUCGUUGAAGCCGGAUUUGGGUCAAAAAAUAUGCUUUGCUUAUGGAGUCAAUGAGGACCUUGGCUUCUGUUCUGCAACCAAGCUUCAGUAUGCUGUUUCAGAUAUGGUACAUUUUUUUCUGUUAUUAUCUUUCUUUAUUAACUUGAAUAUUUAUGAGAAUAUAUGAACUGCUUUAAAUCAUUUCCAAUUAGUCUGCCUAUUGCAUCGAUAGAAGCAGUACAUCUCCGAAAGAUUAUUCUUAUGAAGUCGUGGGUAUUUCUAUCUAUUCAACGCAGUCCUAGUUCUUCUUUCUUGCAUGUAAUAUGUUAAUCUUAAUUGUUGACUCAUUAUACGCAAGAUAGAAUGAUGUUGAAUAUGCUUUAAACUUGAGUUUCAAUUAGGAAUAAUAGUCAUGAAAAAAUUUGGAAUAAUGUAGAGGCAUAAAAGUUCGAUCACAAACUAUUUCUUGAAGAAGAGAAAUGGAUUUGCUGUGAGCCUCCAUGGUUCUUGAAAUAUGACAUAGUCAUAUAAUUGAGCAAUAUGGUUAGCCUCUUCAUGAUGGAGUUAACUUUUGAUUCCAAUUUACUAUGAAACUUUCAAUAGGAUAAAAUAUAUUAAUUAUGUAGAUUUACUUCUCUUUUUGCCUUACUUUAUUUUUGCCUUAUUUUAUUGGGAAAAUUUUGGGCUAUAAUAAGAUUAUGUAACUUCAAAUCUUUUGUGGAUUGAGACACAAGGGUUGCCCAUUGUGUCAACAUCACUAGCGACUAGUGAUGUACCUAGUCUAUCGAUUAUCGUUAAUGCACGACUUGUUUCGAUACCGAUGGGGACCUAUAGAUACAAUAUUAGGCUCGGAACACAUUUAGAUUGUCAUACAAUUUGUGUGAUCUACGGGUUGAGGAAAAGAAUCGGGAAUGGUCAAAGUGGUUGCAAAGUAGGUGAUACGAGCCUCGUAAGAGUUGCUAGAGACCCUGUAGCAAGAACGAAACAUCCAAAAGGAAGGAUUCAAGUUGGAUUAACAUGGAAUAUGGACCCUAUGAAGAACUAGAAAUCAAUAUUCUUAGGAUGGAAUAUUGACCCAUGGUUAUAUCAAACCAAAAACAAUUAUUAUACGGCAAAGAAAAUUACAAGAAACAACUUGUAAAUUCCUGAAGGUUGUUGUAGAACAUCGAUGGAUAAUUGAUCUUGAAGAACUCAAAAUAAUUCAUUAAACUUUGUGUACGAAAGUUGUGUAUACAACCUAUUUAUAAGUGCUUCAAAGACUCAUUUCUCACAAAAAAAUAGAGUUCCUACCUUUACUAUAAUAAGAAAACUAACAAUUAAGCUAAUUCUAACCAUAAACGAAUUCUACAUGUCACUUUUCUUGAAACUUAUCGACUAUACGCCAUUUUUCUUAAUUGGUGGAGAUUUGGGUAUGCACGUGCAACAACUUUGAGCCCAAUUUUGUCCAUCUUGCAUUCCGUCUUACUAAAGCAUGAAACUUCAAGAUCUUUUGUUGGCUUUUCGUAACAUUUUGAAUUAUGGCAAUCCAAUAUCGGACGUGAGAGUUAUGAUCCGAAUUGAAAAUUUGCGAGAGACAUCUGAGAUUUUGGACGCAUGACAAUUGGUUGGUACGACGAAUUCCUUUCUUUAUUGCCUUCGAAUUCCUCAUCAUGGGGACCUCGGAGUAUUGAUUCAAGUUUAUAUUCUUCACCGCCAACUCCCACAAGAUCACGCAUUCUCUCUUCUUCCAAUUCUUCCAAAUCUUCAUCUUCAAGCUAUCAGGAUCGUAUCAAAAGGAGAAUCUUCAGAAGGAGAAGGAGAAGGAAAAGCUUUAGAGAGAGAAGAAUUGUUGGCGUCUUAUAUACCUAGAACUCAUAAGUAUUAAAUGAGGAUGUGGAAUCACCUCAUGUAAUCCCAAGGAAGGUCAAAGCUCUUUAAAUGUGAAAAAUUGUUUCCAUAUUAAUAAUGCAUAACGAUGAAAUUCUUCUCCCCGAGUUGAUAUUACGAUGAUUGAACUUAUUAACUUCUAAUACUAUUCUAAUACAUAAAAAUUAACUUCUUAAGAAAGUGAUCUUAAAUUAUAGGAAUUUUGAGUUUCUAAAAUACCGUUAAGACCGUACUAAAUAGAAAAUACGGAUUAAGACUAUAAAGUAUAAAUCACCUAUUAUUAUCUUCAAUUAAGAAUUAUGUUGAAAGUGGUUUGUUAGUGAACCUUCUUAUUGGGAGUAGAAAGAGUAAUCUCUCAAUACUUCAAGUUUCAUAUUUGAAGCGAGUCAAAAUGGGUGAGGGUAUUUUCUAUAAAUAGUAAAUAGUAUAUACAUGUGGUAAAUAAGAGGAUAUUAUAGAUCCGAGUCAUAGAAUAUAUUAAAUUCUCAUACAAGUUAUUCAAUCUAAUACAAUGAUUUUGUUGUAUCUAGGUAUCGAGUAGGAACAACUUGUUCAUAACGUAGUUGUUUUUAACUUUAGGCAAGGAUCUUGCUUCUAGAUUGCAUUUGGUCGACGUCGUGCAAAAAUAGUACAUGUAGAGUUAAAAUGAGAUAUAUUAAAUAGUUUAUUAGAUAUACUUACUCUAGUAUGAGAUGUUACAAGUGUAAUUUUUUGCUAUUACUCGAUCACCCCACAUUUGAGCUAUAUAUCAUAUUAUCAUUCAAGCAAGAUAAACAUAGAAACUUUCUGAUAGUCGUCAAAGGAAUGUUUGCGUCCUUUUUUAUGUUUGAUAUUAUUCCUACCUACGUAAAGACUUUAACUUCAACUACUAAAUAGUUUAAUAGGUAAAGAUAUUUAUUUUUGUGUUAUAUGUUACACAUGUAAGCUUUGUGCUUUAUUCUGGUGCUUGUCCAUAGAAAGUUUAUGCUAGUUGUCGAAGGAAUCUAGGAGUCUUUCUUGAUGUUUAAUAUUUUUGUUACCUAAAUCAUUCAACUUAACCUUGUUGAUCGCACUCAAGAUCUCUUUCUACCAUUGCCUAAGUUGUUCUUAUGGAACAUACGAACAAGUGACUACAACAAGUCUUAAUUUGUAUUAUAUUUGUUGUCAGGAUCGUCCUUUUGUUGAUGUCUAACUUUCCCUUCUUUUUUAAUUUUGUAUUAGGUCAAUGUCUUGAUGCAUACAGCUGAAACGUCUCUUAAUCCGGAAGAGCUUUCAACAGUAGUGGAGUUGGGAAGGAAGCACAUUGCCCAAGAUCCACUGGUAUUUCGUGUAAGCAAUGGGAAAGCAAAUCAAGAUGCCCCAAGAAAUCAACAAUUUGAAAGAGAAAAUAAAAAUAAAGGAAAGGAAAAAGUUGAUCCUUCAACCUCAGAAAACAACGAUCCAAGCUUCGAUGAACAAAAAUGUGGUGCUAUCUGGGACAUUUUUCGGAGGCAAGAUGUUCCUAAGCUGGAAGACUAUCUCCGAAGGCAUUACGGAGAGUUCAGGCGUGUCGUCCCUUUGCAGCAAGUAAUUAAAUCUUGAAUUUGAAAACAAUGUUCUACUCAACUUAUUCUGUUAUGGGGUUUAUCUCUCAUAUGGUAGUUACUAUUAUUUUUCUAACAGAAUUCUAAAAAUCAAGAUUUUGUUAAGCUUUUGGUAUGAUCUUUUAUUGUCGUAGCAUAAGUAGAUAGAUGUCUUUUAUUUUUCCAAAGUAUCGAUAUGUUUUGGAAUAUUUAUCAUUUAUUUUUUCCUCUAUUCGUGCACAGCUGGUUCAUCCUAUUCAUGAGAAAGCAUUUUACUUAACGAUGGAGCAUAAAAGGAAGCUGAAAGAUGAAUAUGGUAUGUUUUUAUUGUGUUGUAAAGUGGAAUAUGUGUGAAUUGCUAUGUAUAUUGAUUAUCUAUUUUUAUAUAUAUUUUUUUUUGUAGGAAUUGAACCAUGGACCUUUGUCCAGAGAUUAGGCGAUGCAGUUUUGGUACCAGCUGGCUGCCCUUACCAAGCAAGAAACUUAAAGGUUUGAGUGUUUGACUCGUAUACAACUUCGUGAACGACGACUUCAAUUAUUUUCAGUCGAAUGUAAAUUUUUCGCUGUGAAUUUUGCAAUUAAUUUUUGUGUGCGUGUUCCAUCUUGCAGUCGUGUACGAGUAUGUCCAUCGACUUUGUUUCAGCUGAAAGCGUCGGUCAGUGCAUCCGCCUAUCAACGGAGUAUCGGCGUCUCCCAAAGAAUCAUAGUUGUAAGGAAGACAUGCUGCAGGUAUGUCAAAAAUACGAUUGUCUUGUCAAUAAACAAAAUCAAAGAUAUAUAAUGAAUAAAAUUUGUCUGCUUGUAAGAAAAAUAAAGAUUGUGGAUGACAGCUAACGGCUCGUAAUGAAACAGGUGAAGAGAUUGGUUCUUAGUGCUGUCUGCCAAGCUGUGCAGUACUUGGACAAGAUUGAUGCGUAAGUCAUAUAUACAUAGGCUUGUUAAACAUAUGUCUUUGAUACGAUGUUAAUUCAUUUUAUUUUGUUCUUUCCCAGUAUGACGUUAAGAAGUCCAUUUGCACCCCCCUUUGAGCAUGGGAAUGUACGCCAUAAUCCAGCUCAGCAAGGGGAGAGACCUAGUAUUUUACAAAUGAGGAGGGAGUUGGAGAGGAUGAAAUUGGCUCUCGUAACGAAAGGCCACCUUUUUCAACCUCAUAUGAAAGACUAUCUCUUAAAAGAGAUUACGCUCCUCACUAAUAAAAUAAACUCCAGUGCUGGCUCUUCUUCAUCUUAGUUACACCAUUUUCAAUGGUUAGCCUACUUGUUGAGUUAACACAAUAUUUUGACAUUUUCAUCUGUGGAACUAUACUUUAUUUAUUUAGUUUUGUGCCAUACUUUUGUCCGAUUUCAUGAAUUUCAAAGGCCCUGAGAAUUUUCGAGUUGGUUUUGGCUAAUGUUUCUGUUUUUUGGUUUUAGUAUUAAGUUUGGGAAAAUGCAAAUUGAUAUUCCUGGUUGCUAAUGUUGUGUUUGCUGAAUGCGCAGGCCUGUUAGCAGUGGGUAUUGGGCUUGGGUGCUCAUGAGAAAUUCACAAAACGUAGUAAGGUCCUCUCAAACCCGUCCCGUAUAUUUUAAAUCUUUCCAAUAUGUAUAUUGUUGCCAGCUAAGAUUGGUCAAUGCUGAUACGUUAGAUAAGCUGGCGUGGCGCUGACGUGGCGUGGCUGGAUAAGGCACAAUUUAUUGCGAAUCGCUGCAUUGACUGCCGGCCUUAUCACGGUAGAUUUUCUCACCAUUAUAUAACACUCGUUUUCCCUUCCCCCAUUCAUUCCCAUAUCUCCCAUCUCUCGAUUCCUCUCUCAGUUUUCUUCUCGUCGUUUUCUCAGAUAUUUGUAAGUUUUUUAUUUAGUUUUCGAAUGAUGACUACCCGCCUGGCCCUAGUUGUAUUCAACAUUUAAUUUUCCAUCUUCUAACUAUUUUAUCGGAUUGAUGAUUUUUGAUUUAUUCUGGUUCAAAAUCAGAUGACAUGUCGUUUAACGAGAUACGCAAUUUAUUUUUGUUUUUGAAUUUUGUACUUUCCGAUCUUUCAUGCCCCUCCCGAGUUGAUUAACUUAUUUAUUUCUUUCUGGCAAUAUUCAUUUCUCUGGAUAUUCUUGAAAACACGACAGCUUUUACUUUGGAUUAGAAAGAGUACUCAAAGAGAUCAUAUAUUUUUGUCAUUUCGAUUUGCAGAUUAGUUUUCUACGACUAACUUUUGACUUUUGUGUCCUAGCUAUCUUGUUCCUCAAUGAAGGAAAAUUCAGAUGAAGCGGCCCAAUCUGAAGGUAAAUUUCGUAAUUACAAUCGUGGCACUUCUCUACUAUGAGUUAUCCCGUCAAUCGAAAAAAAUUGAAAUGUGAAAUAUGUGAUUGGAUAUGUCACCUUUGCUCGUUUUACGCUCUAUUGUUUGUUGGAUUAUUUACAAAUUAACUUUCUAAAAAUAACGAUGUUCUUCGUAUAGCUUUAAUCAUCAAUUAAGGUCUUAUUUUUUGUAAUCGUUUCUUGACGUGAAGAUCUUUAUGUGCACUCUUAAUGUUUUAUUGCAAUUAUACUUCAUGAAUAUAUAUGUCGUUUCUACCCUUUUUAUCGGCUACGUAUAAUUUCUUAUUCCAGGGGAGAUACGUAUACCUAGUCUUGCAUAAGUGAAGAGGGAGUUGGAGAGGAUGAAUUUGAUUCUCGAAACAAAAGGCCACCUUAUUGACCCUCAUAUAAAAGUCUAUCUUUUACAAGAGAUUUUGCUCCUCCUUAACAAAGUAAACACCGACGCCGAGUCUUCUACGUCUCAGUGACAGCGUAUCUACCGAUGCGUUAACGUUUUUCAUUAUGUAAUUUUGAGCAAUACCUUUUCUUUUUUUUCCGGUUUUGUGAGUUGUAGUGAGUUUGGUGAAUCAGCUUGACAUGAAUGAACUGUUUGUUUUUUAUUAUAAAAUAUAUCUUUAAUUCCGUAGCAAUAUUUUGUGUUAUUUGUAGCAGUUUCAUUUUCUCCUACAUUGUAUUUCGUACCGUAAUUCAAUUUUCUAAAUAAUAUAAAACGGAUGAGUAUCAAUGUUUUAAAAAUCGGAUCGAACAUUGACCGGAACAAGCUACUGGAUCAUGGUUGGAUCAGUUUAACCGGUUUUUUCAUUUUUUAUACAUAUCUUUUAGUAAAUAAAACAUAUUUUUUUCACACAUUAACUCAAUGCUCAUUUCCAAUUAAAAUUUAGAUCCGACUUAUUUUUCUUUUACACACAACACAUCACGCCGAAUCAUAGUAAAAAGACAUCGUUUUGGCCAUUUUAUUUGUUUAUUUUUUUAAUAAAACACAAUUUUAGAAAGAAAAAAAACCCGAUUUUCACUCAGGUUUUGAUAUUACAUUUCAACCGGUCAAACGGGACCGGACAAGACAAUGAUUCGCGAUUUAAUCGAUUGAACCAGCCAGUCCAGUCUAGUUCAAAACACUGAGUAUAAUACAAUUUUCUUAUGCAGUGCCAUUUUAUUUUAUCUUUUCUAGUACAUAGUUUCUGUAACAAUAAAAUAAAAAAUAAUGUAGCUUAUUUUCAUUAUUUUGAUAUUUUCUUAUAUUAGGUUUGGAGCAUUUUUUUUAAAGAAAAUUAAAUCACGCCCCGAAUUAGAAAGUAGGUGAGUGAUAUGAUUUAUUACGUACUUUCAACUUAACGAUGAGCUAGUAGCAAAUCUCAUUAUAAUAUUAGUCUAAAAUUUAUAUAUCGAACAAUGGUAGUAGUUGUGCUAAAAUUCAAAAUAAUGAUAAAUAUUGGAAUAAAUUGGGUUUCAAGAGUGAUUCAAAUAACAAUCGAAGUCUCUUCCAUGAUGUGAUUUGAUGAUUUUUUUUUAGGUUUUUCAACUUGAAAAAAGUAAUAAUAGGGUUUAACUGAAAUAAUUCUUAGUUAGAGGGGUUAAAGUCAUAUAUUAACACUAAGUUAGAAGGGUUGAAAUUAUAUUUAUGCUUAAUUUGAGGGGUUGAAGUGAUAUAUAAUGUUUACUUUAAAGGGGUUUGAACUUUAAUUUAUUUAGCAAAUGAUAUCAUCAAAUAGAAAAGCCUUUUCCGACGAUCAGUUGUCAAUUGUAAUCUCUCCACUCCCAGAUUAAACCCCACAGGUGGCAGUUGCAAUGUCCAUGCCCACCGUCGCCGCCGCCGUCACCGCCGCCGUCACCGUCACGUCACCGGCCGUAUUCUUUCUCGGCGCACGGUAAUUCGAGGAUGACUACUGUAUUGGUUAAUGUGCUCCGGCUAUGGUGGUGGGAGUUAUAUGAAGUUAAUUGGAUGUGGAAAUUCUUCAUCGGAUGGCUAUUUCCAGAUUGUAAGCCAUUAAAUUUACUGUUUUGGUGAAUUAUUUGAAAAUGCAAUUGCCUUUAAUUUCUCUAUGCCUUUUUUUGAUAGCAAAAUUUCGAGUACUUUGGUCGAAUUAAUUGGGCAACCUCAUACAUACCUAAUUGAACUCUUGGGAGAUUCAUAUUUGCCUGUGAAUAAUUUUAUCAAUGUAUAAGUAUAAGUGAUUAUAUGAUAAUACCGUAAAUUUUUCAAAUGUUGCAAUUUCUAUUGUCAUAUAUUAAUUUUUACGUUUAUAGAACAAUGUCUUAGGUUGUAUGCCUUACAAUCCUGUCUGCGUGGCUAUCCUGCUUGUCAUACUGGUUACGUUUAUAGAACAAUUGCUGCUCCUUAUUUAGAACUCAUAUUGUCUAUAGGAAAUGGUUCCUGCUAAUUUUACUUCUCAUUGUUUGAAGGAAUAUGGGGCAUGAUCGAGACCUGGCGAGAGAUGUAUUUUCAGUAUCAGGUAAUAUUUUAAUCUGGAUAUUGAAGCCUAGUCUUGGUGCUUAUUGAGUUUAUAUUUUUGGAAUAUGGGGCAUGAUCGAAAAGUGCUUUAUCUGAUAAUAUUUAUAUGAAAGAGCAUAUAUCGCAUAAAUGACUGCGUGGGUAAAUGCUUUUAUUGGCGGGGUUUCCCGCAAAUAAAUUUUACCCUACCCUCCCUACUCCCUAUUCCCAUUCUACUUUCUCACACAUUCUCUGCAUCUCUAAAUCCAUUCUACUUUCUCACACAUUCUCUGCAUCUCUAAAUCCCUGUUCAAUUUUCGAUCUCCAUCUCCUCAUUUUCUCUUAUCAAAGGUUCAAACUCAGAGGAAAAGUUGUUGAAACUCCAAUAAUUGAAAUGGUCAGGAUAUGCAUUUUAUAGAAGGAGAUAUUCGUAAAAUGUUAGUUGUACUGUUGGCUUGAAAUGAGAAGAAAUGCUUUAUAUUCUUCUACGUAUUUUAUUGAAAUAGAGAUCCUUUCCAUGUAUCAUAUAUAAUACAUUCAUUUUAUUGUCACGCCUCUUAUUAUUGGCUAGUUUUCGUUCUCUUAAGUUCGUUUUUUUAAUUCAUUACAAUUUUAUUUGCUAUGCAGAAUCUAAAUAGAGAAUAAUGAUGUUGGCUAAGAGCGAUCAAGACUGAGAUGAAAUGCCAAAAAUACCAAAGAGCAAUCAGUUUUCAGCAUUACCAAAGUAAGUUUGGUACAAUUUACUAGUGGUUCGGGUUUUGUUAAUGAAAUGCCAAAGAAAAAUCUCUAUAUUUUUUUACAGAAUAUUCAAUUCUACCUAAUCUAGAGGAAUUUAUGAACCAAACCUAGUUGUUUGGUUUUAGUAUUAAGUUUAGCAAAAUGCAAACUGAUAUUUCUGUUUGCUAAUGUUGGGUUUUAUGAAUGGACAGGCCUAUUAGCAGUGGAUAUUGGGCUUAGAUACUCUCUCAGAUCUCCAAGAAAUGGCUAAUGAAGAGUCCACAAAACAUAGUAAGGUACUGUCAAACCCUUCCAAUAUAUUUUGCAAAAUCGUAUACUCGCUAAAUUUGGUUAAUGCUAAUACGUUAAAUGAGCUGGCAUGUUGGUGGAUGGAUAAGGCACAAUUUAUUGCAUAUCGCUGCAUUGACUGUCGGUCUUAUCACGGCAGAUUUUCUCACCACUAUAUAACACUCGUUUUCCCUGCCCCCAUUCAUUCGCAUAUUGCCAUCUCUCUAUUUUCCUUUCAUUUUUUUACUUUUCUUGUCACCAUUUUCUCAGAUUUAAGGAUUUUUCUUUAUCUUUGGUUGAAAAUGAUGAGAUUUGUGUUCGAUAUUUUUUAAUUUUUAAUUUUUAAUUUAGUUUUCGAUUGCGCAUUUUUUUUUUUUUUUUUUUUUUUUUUUUUUUUUUUUUUCUCUUUCUUAUUCUUUGUUGGUCUCCACCUUAUCUCCUUAACUGUAUUAGACAUUCAGUUUUCUAUCUUCAAACUAUUUUCUGGAUUGAAGGCUUUUGAUUUAUUUCUGGAUGAAAAUCAGAUGACACAUCUGAUUGGACAUAAUUAAUUUUAUUUUAUUUUUGUUUUUGACUUUUAUAUUUUCAUUAUGCUUGGUUUACUCAUCCAUUUCUUUCUGUUCAAUUUUCAUUAUUUCUCUGGAAGUUCUUGAAAAUAUGGCAGCUCUUACUAUGGAUUUGGGUGAAAUCAUCUAUAUACCAGUUUGAUUGGAAAACUAGUUUUUUCGAAUUCAAACUGCCUAAAGAGUCCUAUGCCUCAGUAGUGAAUCUCAAUUUUUUUUUGCGAAAUUAGAUAUACAAAAGUGAGAAUCAAGGGUUCCUAUGUUAUAUGUUAAUAUCUUCGUCUUUCGGUGUGACAAACGCAAAUGAACUCAAACAAUUGUCCUCAGCGUCACAUGUGUGGUAAAGAUAUAGUUGUUGGAUACAUCAAAUGCAGUUUGAAGGAUUAUUGCGUUCUCAGCAUCACUAAGUUGUGCAAAAGUUUGUUGUUGAAGAUACUUUUUCAUUUCAGUGUUUCAGUUUUAUGUUAAGCUACUAAAAUUAUAUCUUUUGCAUCUGGAAAUUCGUUGACUGGAAUUAAUCUUGUGACGUAGGCUUCCAAAUUGUCACAGCCGAAGAAUUUCCACGACACAAAAGAUUUUAGUAGUGUCUAACAAUUGAGCAUUGAAGUAUAAAAUGUCUCCAACAACAAAAGUUCUCGACAUUUAAUAAUGCAUGAAACGGGAUAGUUAUUUUUUUUGCAUUUGGUGCAUCAUAAAACUAUUUCUUCAUCAUUCUUGUGGCAUUGAUGACAAUUGUUUGAGUCACUCUAUCAUACUCGAAGACAAAAAUGUUAACAUAAAAAUCUGUAGUUCUCACCUUUGAAUAUCUUGUUUUGUGAAGAAGUUGGAGAGAGAAUAUCUUGUUUUUAUGAGACGUGUUAUUGCACUUUCAGUUCUCAUUAGUACCCUAAUCGAUGUUGUUAUUAGAGACUUUUUGAUUUUAGUAAAUUCUUUGGUUGAAAUUCUGAUUUUAGGAUGCUAUCGUUACUUUCUAACUUGUUGCCAUCUAGGCUUCCAUCUUGUUUAGAACGUAAAAACUUCUGUUAAAAUUUUAGUUAGAAGCUUCUUUCAUUAUACUGACAACGCACUUGGAUAGAUGCACGCAUAAAGCAUAUACAAUCACAUUCUUCUGUUGGUCUCUAGUUAUUGCAUCGAGAAGAAUUGAACUACAUAUAUCUGACUUUCAAAGUUAUUAGUGUUAGAAAAGUGUUUUUCAUAUUUCAAAUAUGACUGAGAAAUGAGUUACUUACUGAGUUACUUUGUGUUUUCUGUUCUGACAAAAUAAUAUUUUCUCCUGCACUAUAACAUUAAUCUGUUUCACUUCGAAGCAACACUAAAUUUAGAGCACCUCACACGCGGUAUCACAUAAAUAUUUCUGCACCAUUAAACAGUGAUACAUCUAAAAAUCUUCACGAUUUGCUUAAUAUUGUAAAAAGAUCUUCCUGAUUGAGUAUUUAAGGAUGAAGGGUUUUUGCAGAGAGACCCGUACGAUGUGGUAAUAUUUGUAAUUUUAAUGAUUGUUUACGGUGUUACGUGGUCAAUAAAGUAUGUAUUAACCAAAGUGAUCCAAGGGUGUCUUAAGUUUGCAUUAUAGUGAAAAAUGCAUUUGGAAGAAUCUUUUUUGUACACACACACACAAUAAAAUUGACACAAUACAGUUAUAAAAGAUAUGCAAAUGCUAUGCGACUGAGAAAUUUAUUGUGGAGAAAGAUAAUUUUGUAUGAAGCACCAAUUCUGGAUGUUUUGACAACGAAUGAUGUACUAUCAAAUUGAAUACGUCCUCGUUUGGUUGUUACAAUGAGGUGACCAAGAUAAGAUUAUUUUAAUUUUAUUAGGGUCUAAUUGUAUAAAUGCACCAAUAAUCUAUAAGAGAAGGGCACAAUUUUUUUCUUUUCAAUUUUUUUAGAUGCUCCCAAAAAUUAUUGAAUUAACUAAAUAUGAAAGAAGAUAUAAUUAAUCAUGAUGUAUCUUGUUAACCAACAAAGCCAAAAUAUUUUUGAGAGCGAUUUUUUUUCUCCUGAGAGACUUUGAUAAUCGCUUGAUGUAAAUAUUCAUUAUUGAACAUAAUUAAUUAUGGUAUUGAAGAAAGUUGAUUUCCUCAAUUUGUGUUAUGUAUUUGUGGACACUUUUUAUGCGCCGUGGUAAUAAAAUAGUUGAAAUUCCAAAAACUAAAAGCUUUAGAUUUCUAUCAUUUGUAUGGCUUGUGCACAAGGAAGAAUGAAUAUGGUCAGGAUAUGCAUCUUGAAAUAUAUAGCUUAUAGUCGAGAAUGGAAAAUAAGAACUUUCAUUUUCAGAAUAUUUUAUGUUAUAGUAUUUGGUGAUAGCUUUAUUAGAGGAAUAUUUGGUCAAUGAGCUUACAUUUGUUUUUAUGUAUUGGAUGCUUAGCUAGUUUGUCCGGAAAUACGUAUUGAAGUGUUGAACCACACAGCGCUGUUUUAAGCAGCAGUGUACUUUAGUUGCAUAAUGCGCUUUCUAAAAAAUAAUUUCCUAGUUGGUAAAAUAAUUUUCUAAGACUUUUCUGAUUAGCUAACUUUAUUUUUCAGCUUCAAGAUUUCAUGAGAAAGAAAAAUGGGAAACUAACUCUUGGUACACUGGACAUCGUGGUUGCAUCUUUUUUCUUCUUCGCUUUUUCGGGUUUAAAAGAAUCAUUGAAAUAAUUUUAAGUUUUUAACGUAUAGGGAUUACUCACGAUUAAAUGAAAAUCUAUAGGUGCAAAAAAUUUGCUCAUAAGUUGUUUGAUCUUAAUCUGGUAUGGGGGCUACAAAAGUUUGGGUUGAGCUCCAAAGUUAUAUGCAUCUAAUCAAAACAACAUCAAAUAUCUAUAUUAAGCUUUUAUUGCACUGUAUAACUUGGCACUUCUUUAGCUUAUUGAGCAGAAAUCAAGCUAAACUUGAUAAAUAGGCUGACUAAUAUGAUAUCAAAAUUUACCAUUCCUAGAAAAAUUAUGCUGAAAUGAUCUACUUAGCAGUUGGGUAGAUGUGUAUGGUUUGGUAAACCGACCGAACCAAAACCAAAGCUUUAGUUUGUACCGAAUACUGAACUGCUAUCCUGUUUGAUAUUCGUUUUCCAUAUUUCACAGUUUUGGUUCGGUGCUGAUACUUUUGGUUUAAGUUUAUGCAACUGAACUGUGCUUUUCUUUUUUCUUUUUUUUUUAAUCAAUUUCUGGUCAAUCUCCUUCCUGGCUUCCGUUCUCAACUUUUAUUUAUUUAUUUAUUAUUUGUUUUUCUUUUUUCUUCAAAGGAGGAGCCGUUCUCAACUGUUUGAUAUGAUUGCAGAAGAGAUUUUUUCCAUGUAUGGAUUCAUUCCUGGUAUUGUCAUAUGCCUUAUAUUAGCUAGUUUUAGUUCUUUUCUUCCACCAAAGAAAAUGCAAGUUAAUAAGUUUAAAAGAUUCUUUUUUUUUUUUUUAAUUCAUUUGGAAUUUUACAUGUAAGCCUUUUGGAAGAGCAAUCAAGAUCGAGAUGGAAUUUUUGAAAUUUCCAAAGAGCAUUGCCGAAAUAUGUUUAGUGUAACUUCAUUUGUCUAUAAUUCAGUUCUCCCGGGAUCUUUACGAAUAUACCGAGCCAAACCAAUUUUUUUGGUUUUGUGUAUUAAGUGUUGCAAAAUGCAAAAUGAUAUUUCUGUUUUCUAAUUUUGGGUUUGCUGAAUGCACAGGCCUAUUAGCAUUAGCAGUGGAUAUUGGGCUUCGAUAAGAAGUCCAAGAAAUGGCUCGUAGAAGUUAAAAAACGUAGUAAGGUACUGUCAAGCCCAUCCAAUAUAUUUUGUUUCCGUAUAUUGCUGCCAGCUAAGAAUUGUUAAUGCUAAUACGGCAAAUGAGUUGGUGAGUUGGUGGAUGGAUAAAUCAAAAUUUAUUGCAAUUGACUGUCGACCGUAUCACGGCAGAUUUUCUCACCAUUAUAUAACACGCAUUCUCCGUGCACCAAUUCAUUCACCAUAUCUCCAUUUCUCUAUUCCUCUUUCAGUUUUCUUCUCAUCAUUUUUUCAGAUUUAAGGCUUUGCUUUAUUUUUUGGUUGAAAAUCAGAUGAGAUUUGUGUUUAUAUCUGUAAGUUUUUUAAUUUCAUUUUGUUUUUGAAUGAUGCCUACAGUUUUUUCUUAUUCUUGUUACACCCCCCUCCCCCCCUCCCUAGCUGCAUUCAACUUUCAUUUUUCCACCGUGUAAUCAUUUUCUCGGAUUCAAGGAUUUUGAUAUAUUUCUGGUUCAAAAAACAAAGGAGAUAUCUGAUUUGACAUACAUCAUUUUUUUUUAAUUUUGUAAUUUUUGAUUUUUCAUUCCCUGUCGCCUAGUUGUUUCCGUCCAUUUCUUUUUGGCCAGUUUUCAUUCAUUUCUACUUUAGAUUAAUGAUAGAUCUCAUCUCGAUUUGAAGAUUAGUUUUCUAGGACAAGUUUUUGUGUCAUAGUUAUGUUGCUUCUCUUUCUGAUGAUUUUUUUUCCUUGUAGAGUUAUCAAUGAAGAAAUAUCCUCUACCGGAAAUAUGCAGAGGAACGUGCUCAAUUUUAAGGUAAAUUUCGUGAAAGUCAAUUAUGACAGAUCUCUUAGAACCAAAGAUUGAUAAACAGAGAACAACAGGGAUCUGUUGUUGUCUUUCAAAAAAAAAAAUCUAGUCUUCAGUCACAAAAUGAUUUAGUAAAUAAACUUAUCUUAGUUAACUUAAUCAACAGAUCUUAAUUAACUUAAUCAACAGAUCUUACAUUAGAUACCCAUGUGAAAUGGAAGGAAGCUAUCUAUAUUUCUUUUUGAGAGGGUUAUAUCCGUAACUGUAGAUCUCUUAUAAUUUCACUCUCGUAAAGUAAGAUAUUCAAAAAGUAUCUUAUGUUAGCAUGUUUGUCUUUGGGUAUGACAGAGGAAAAGAAGCGACUCAAACAACUGUCAUCAAUGCCACAAUAAGGACAAAGAAAAUGUCCUACAGAUUCGGCGACGCGGUUUUCGUACCAGCUGGCUGCCCUCACCAAGCUAGAAACCUAAAGGUUUGUGUGUUUGACUCGUAUACAACUUCGUGAACGACGACUUCAAUUAUUUUCCAUCGAAUGUAAAUUUUUCGCUGUGAAUUUUGCAAUUAACUUUUGUGUACGAUGCUCCAUCUUGCAGUCGUGCACAAGUAUGUCUAUCGACUUUGUUUCAGCAGAAAGUGUCGGUGAGUGCAUCCGCCUGUCAACGGAAUAUCGGUCGACUCCCUCACAAUCAUAGUUCUAAGGAAGACAAAUUGCAGGUAUGUAAAAUAAUAUGAUUGUCUUGUCAAUAACUAAAACCGGAGAUAUAUAUAAUGAAUAAAAAUUUGUCUGCUUGUAAGAAAAAUAAAGAUUGCGGACGACAUCUAACGGCUCGUAAUAAAACAGGUGAAGGGAUUGGUUCUCAGCGCUGUACUUGGACAAGAUUGAUGCGUAAGUCAUAUAUGCUUGUUAAAUAAACAUAUGUCUUUGAUACGAUACGAUGUUAAUUCAUUUUAUUUUAUUCUUUACCAGUAUUACGUUAAGAAGUCCAUUUGCACCGUACGCCAGAAUCCAGCUCAGCAAGGGGAGAAACCUAGUCUUUCACAAAUGAGGAGGGAGUUGGAGCGGAUGAAAUCGGCUCUCGAAACGAAAGGCCACCUUUUUCAACCGCAUAUGAAAGACUAUCUCUUAAAAGAGAUUCCGCUCCUCACACGCUUUAAUAUGCUCUUUCAGAUAUGGUACAUUUGCACCCUCUAUACGCAUCGGAAUGUACAUCGGAAUCCUGCGCUGAUGAAAAAGAAUGUGUUGGCAGGUGAUUAAGUUUACUCUUGAAAGAAUGUGUAGCUAGAAACUAUGGAGAACCUCUGGCUGCUGUUAUAUUUAUAUAUACUUCAUUACUGUUUAACAUGAUUUAUAUAUAUGUUGGUGAGUAUUUGUUGAUUAUUGUUUUUAUUUACUAUAUAUAUAUAUAUAUAUAUAUAUAUAUAUAUAUAUAUAUAUAUAUAUAUAUAUAUAUAUAUAUAUAUAUAUAUAUAUAUAUAUAUAUAUAUAUAUAUAUAUAUAUAUAUAUAUAUAUAUAUAUAUAUAUAUAUAUAUAUAUAUAUAAAUAUAUAUAUAUAUAUAUAUAUAUAUANNNNNNNNNNNNNNNNNNNNNNNNNNNNNNNNNNNNNNNNNNNNNNNNNNNNNNNNNNNNNNNNNNNNNNNNNNNNNNNNNNNNNNNNNNNNNNNNNNNNAGGAAAUUCCUCGUCCAAAAAUUAUGACAUCUUAUUGGUAACUUGGUGGUCCCUACUAAUUUUUCUUCUCAUUAUUUGAAGGAAUACGGGGCAUGAUCGAGAGUUGGCAAGAGAUGUAUUUUCAGAAUCAGGUACUAAUUUAAUUUUGGAUGUUGAAGAGUAGCCUUAGUGCUCUUUUAAGUGUCAAAUAAUCGGAAAGUGCUUCAUCUGAGAACAUUUAUAUGAAAAACGAAAUGUCGCAGAUAUGAAUGCGUGACUUAGUUAUUCAAGACUAACGGAUAUAUUAAUAUAUGUCUUCAGUUAACUUGUUCAAGUAUUGAUCAAAUAUAUUAUACACAAUUGCAAGUGAUAUUACUCUUCGAUAUGUUCAAACAUUUCAAAAGAACUUUGGUUUUAGGAAAAGAAAUCGUGCCGGAUAUUUGUAAGAUAAUACAAUCGGGAAUGAGGUUUUUAGCAUCACUCCUUGAGUUUUUGCUUUUUUCAUACCUAGGUAAUUUAAAUUAAUGGCUCAAGGAAGUUCACAAUAGACUGUAUGGUAGAUUUCAUAUCUCGCCAAAUGUCAUUUUGCUGACAGCUAUGGUUGGUGUAACUGCUAAUAUGUAAAAUUAGCUGGCAUCGUCACUGGAUAUGAAGCAAUUUAUUAGGGGUCGAUACAAUCAAUGCUGACCUUAUCGGAUUUAUUGGCGGAGUUCCCCACAAAUAAAUUUUACCCUCCCCUCCCUCCCUACUCCCAUUCUUCUAUCUCGCCCAUUCUCUCCACCUCUGUAUCCCUUGUUCAAUUUUCAAUCUUCAUCUCCUCAUUUUCUCAAAUUAAAAGCUUCUGUUUUGUUUGUGGUUCAGAAUCAGAAGAGUUUGUGAUCUGAUUUAGGUGAUUUUAUAUUACCUUUUCUUGUUUUUCCCUUUUUAUUCUUAAACUUGAUGAACUGAGUUUGCCAUCUAAUUUCCACCUCUUUCAUGUUUCAUUUCAUGACACGAUAUCUUCUAUUUUAGAUUAAAAAAGAACAUGUGUUUGUCAUCUUGAUUUUGAAGAUUAGAUUUUAGGAUUAGUUUUCUUACUCCUCCUUGGUGAUUAUUUUAUCGUUUAUGUUGUAGAAACUAAGGUUGGUUUAGUCACUGCAUGUAUUCUUACUUAUAAUUAAAAAUUAAAAUAAUAGAUGUAUAAUUAGAGUGGUGCAAUCCUUAUGAAGAAACCAAUAACCACUAUUAUAUACUCUAUAUUUUUUUUCCUUAACCUGUAUCUCCCACUUUUUUUUUUUUUUUUGUAGUAGAAUUUAGAGGACAAAAAAACAUUAGUCGGCAAUACUCGGCAUAGGUCAUGUGAACAUAUUAAUUUUUUUUAUUUUAAUGGUUGAAAUAUUUAUUAAUAGAUUCUGGUGAACUAGUUACUAGGACCAGUUUUAUUGUCAGUGUGCAUAAGUAGUAAGUAGCAAUAAUUUAAAAUUAAUAUUUUUCUUUAAAUGUCCUUAAGGAAUCCUAAUUUGAGAUUUUUUUCCUGGGCCCUCCAUUUUACAGGCAUGGUAAGUAAAAACGUUUUUGGUUAGUGAGAAGGAAAAUGAUUUACAUAUUUAUGUGAAUCAUCAUAAUUCAUAAGAUUGCAAUAGUCAGUAUUAUAUUGCAGUAAUAUGUAUAAGUUUGCAAUAGUCAACAUUAUAUUGCAGUGAGCAGUAUCGGAUUACAGUAAUCAACACAAUUUUCCUUUUUUGCUAGUAAGACAUGCUUAUUUCAUUUCCCUGGAACAAUUAUGCAUACAUUUUGCCAUUGCAGUUAAGAGAACGUGGUGCUCUGACUGAGAAAACAAUUGAAAACCAAGAUUUAUCAAGGCAAUUAAUUUCGGGGAGUUAAAAUGAUGCCAUUGAGAAGUUCAAAUGGAGAAACAUCUUCUGCUGGAAAUAUGCAAAUGAACGGACACAACUUAAAGGUAAAUUAAUAAUGUUAAUUGUAGCAGAUCUAUAGAACAAAACAAUUCGAAACAGAAAAUAACAUGUUGCCUUCCUAGUAUUAUGUAUAUCAGUUGAGAUUUAAAUUUGAUAUAAGUAUAUAGGUUGCAGAAUUCAGUUAUCCAUGCAAUUGUCUUGUAUCAACUACUUUUUAGAAGUAAAAAAUCAAAUUGCAUGUGUAAAUACCAAGUUAGAAAAACCCCUUUUCAGACUAUUCGUAGUGAAAUUACUUUGACUAAAUACAUUUAUUUGUAAGUGUGGAUUCUUCGAUUUUGUGAUGUUGGUCUUGAAUUAUUUAGUCUUCAAUCAUGAAGUGAUUUAAUGUAAAUAAAUGUAUCUUUGUUAUUUUAAUCAAUAGAUCUAAACAUUAGAUAUCCACUGGACAUGAAUAUAUAUAUAUAAGGCGGCAGAAAACAAUGAUAUGUCACCACAAUUAAAGUUAAGAUCCUAAAGAAGAUUAUAUCCAGAACCGUAGAUCUCAUCUAAUUCAUUCCAUUGCCAACUUUUCAUAAAGUACUAUAUUAAAAAUCGAGGAUAUACUCUAUGUUAAUAUGUUUUUCUUUGGAUGUGGCAGAGGAAAAGCAUCGACUCGACCAAUUGCCAUCAAUGUCAUAGAAACGACAAAGAAAAAGUCGUGCGAUGCACCAAGUGCAAGCAUAGGGGUUAUUGUAUUCUCUGUAUCAAUAAAUGGUGAGAAAUUUUGUUGCUUGAUAUAUUUUUUGUUGCUCUUAUGUUGGUACUUGAUAAAUGUCAUUUAAGUCGUACUGAUUAAUUUUGAGUUUUACCGCCACAAAGCAGGAUGGUAUAUUUAUUAUCUUCUCUUUGGAAUAGACCUACUACUCAUUUAGUCAUUUAUGAAUGAAUUUUUGCUUAAACAUGUUUCAAAGUAAGGGCUUCCCUUGGUUCUACACUAACAUUAUUCCUGCAUUUUCUUCAUUUUAUAGAUAUAUUUUUUUAUCGUCGAUGCUCUUGCAUAUAGAUUUACUAUAUCUCUGUUGUAAUCACAGGUACAAAGGGCUGCAAGAGGCAGACUUUGCUGAAGCAUGCGCAGGCUGUCGCAAAAUUUGCAACUGUACAGCUUGCAUACAUUCUGAUUUGGAGAAUAAAGUUAGUAUUAAGGUUUUUCUCUUGAUUUUAUAUUAAUAUAGUAUUUUAUAUGUUUUCUAAUUAAGUCUCUUGUUCUUGCAUGUUAGGACAUGUUCAAACCAGACUUGCAGCUUGACAUCAACAAAAAGGUCGAGUACUCAAAAUAUAUUAUUAGAGUACUUCUUCCUUCUUUUAGGAAGUUUGUUGUUGAGCAGAACAUAGAAAGAGAAGAAGAGGCAAGAAUUCAAGGUAACUUUAACUUUUGUUAGGAGGUUUUAACGUUCACCUGUAUUACACUUUUUGUUUAGAAAAUUAUUUUGAUAUCUCUUAUCUUCUUCUUACUGAUAUGGAUUUUGAUGCCUCCAAACGAAAUCAAAGAGUCCUAAAAUGGUAUUUAAUGGCACUAUGCAUUAUUGAAGUUUCAGGAUGAUGUUUUCUAAUAAUAUUAAUUUCUGCCGUGUAGAAGUGUUGAACAUAUUUACAGUUUAUCGUACACUACUUGUUUCCUGAAGAUCCAUGAGUUUAGAAGGGAGAUUCUUGUUUUAGGUGUGCCUUUGUUUGUGUUACUAAACACUCUGGAAACAGUAAGCAUAUCUAAAUCUUAUGUUCUUAUCCAUCACCACUGCUCACGGCCAUUAUCCUGCCAAACAUGUAUAUUGAAUUGUUUAUUCAACAAAUAUAAUAAAUAGAAAAGGAUUUUAUGUUAACAGUUUCCGUCAAUUGUAUGUGCUACUCCAUUUCAGUGAUUUAUGAUUUUGAGGUAUUAGUGAGACGUACCUGGAGAUAAACAUAAUUGAUAGGACUUUUGAUUUUCCCUAGCAGAUGUAGUUUCGUUGUUUGAUUAAUUAUAAUAUAUAUAUAUUUUUGGUUGGGCAGGUGUUUCAGUUGCGGGACUUCAGCUUCCGAAAGCCAACUUUAUCCAGGGCAAUAAAGUCAAAUGGUGGAUACUUUUAACCUAUGUCGUUUUCCUGAUAAAUGUUUGCUCCAGUAUGCAAAAUGUUGAUAAUUAUAACUUGUGCUGUGCAGCGACAACUGUAAGACUGCAAUAUUCGAUAUCCACAGAAGUUGUCUAAACUGCACGUACAAGCUCUGUGUAACUUGUUGCCGAGAGAUAAGGAAUGGCUUCCAAUGGGGAAAUGACAAAUAUCACGUUCAUCAUGGGGGUCGUACUUUUACAAGCAAUGACAGAUUUUCUGCAGCAGCCUGUUGUUCUAUGGACCACACGAGUUUUACUUCUGAAUGGAAGAUGAUAGACAGAGGUACCAUAGUUUGUCCACCUGAAAUUAUGGGGGGAUGUGCUCAUGGGAAUAUGGUGUUAAAAUCCACAUAUCCAGAUAACUGGGUAUCGGAACUGCUAAUUAAAGCAGAGUCCAUAGAUCUCGAGGUGGGUGAAAUUUCUGAACAAGCAUGCUCAUGUUCAGGGAGUGAAGUCUGUAAUUUCCGUUGUCCCACAGUUGUGGGCGUUGACCAAAAGCACUUCCAACGGCACCUAUAUAAAGGUGAGCCCGUGAUAGUCCCUGACGUGCUCAGCAGGACGACUGGGUUGAGUUGGGAGCCAUUAGUCAUGUGGCGUGGUUGCCGCAAAUCUAGAAGGACUAAUGAUGCUCGCAUUCUGGAAUUCAGCGUAACGAAUUGCGUAAAUUGGUGCAAGGUAUGCCAUGCCGACUUCUCUAUUAUGUUUUACUCUAUCAAUCAAAAAGUUUUAAUUUGGAAUUUUGUGAUUGGAUGACUCUCACCUUCGCUUAUUCUUACAUCCUUUUAUUUGUUAUAAUAGUAACAAAUGAAUUUUCUAAUAAAUCAUGUUGUUCUUCGUAUCCCCCCCCCCCCCCCCCCCCCUUUUCUCUCAAUCAUGAUCUUAUUUCUUGUAAUUGAUUCUAGGUUGUAUUGUUUAUGUUCUUGAGAAUUCACUUGCUGCAAAUGGCUGCAGUAUUCUAUUGGUCCAUGUAAUCUUUCAAGAGAAGAACCAAGUAACAGAAAUAGUAAUCGUUUAUUUUCCUUAGUUUUCUUGCAAAUUUCUCUUCAUAUUGUGUCAACCUUCAAAAUCUCAAAACUUUAGUUGGGUUAAUAAGUGUCUAACACGAAUUUGGAUAGGAGAAAGCAAAGAUCUAACGAUUCGCUCUUAAAUAGAGAUGUUUUGAUAGAUUUGCUCUUGAUGUUUUUUUUUUUGCAUUUAAUUGUAAUGAUUUGAUUUUGGGACUAUGACACGCAGGAAACUAUAAACAUGCACCAAUUUUUCAACGGGUAUUCUGAAGGCCUCUUGGACAGUGAAGGCCGGCCCAAAAUUAUGAAGUUGGAGGAUUGGCCUCCAACUGAAUCCUUUCAAGAACGGCUGCCUCGGCAUUUCGUAGAGUUCAUUAGAUGCUUGCCUUUCAAGCUAUACACACAUCAAGCUGGCUACCUCAACAUGCCAGCGAAAGCACCAAAAAAGUCGUUGAAGCCGGAUUUGGGUCCAAAAAUAUGCUUUGCUUAUGGAGUUAAUGAGGACCUUGGCUUCUGUUCUGCAACCAAGCUUCAGUAUGCUCUUUCAGAUAUGGUACAUUUUUUCUUUAUAUCUGUCUUUAUUAACUUGAAUAUUUAUGAGAAUACAUGAGCUGCUUUAAAUCAUUUCCGAUUAGUCUGCCUAUUGCAUCGAUAGAAGCAGUACAUCUCCCAAAGAAUAUUCUUAUGAAGUCGUGGGUAUUUAUAUCUAUUCAAUGCAGUCCUAAUUCUUCUUUCUUGCAUUUAAUAUGUUAAUCUUAAUUGUUGACUCAUUAUACGAGUUGUCGAAGAAAUCUUGGAGUCUUUCUUGAUGUUUAAUAUUUUUGUUAGCUAAAUCAUUCAACUUUACCUUGUUGAUUGCACUCAAGAUCUCUUUCUAUCAAUGCCUAAGUUGUUCGUAUGGAACAUACGAACAAGUGACUACAACAAGUCUGAAUUUGUAUUAUAUUUGUUGUCAGGAUCCUGCUUUUGUUGAUUCUAACUUUCCUUUCUUUUUUAAUUUGUUUUAGGUCAAUGUCUUGAUGCAUACAGCUGCAACGUCUCUUAAUCCGGAUGAGCUUUCAACAAUAGUGGAGUUAGGAAGGAAGCACAUUGCCCAAGAUCCAGUGGUAUUUUCUGUAAGCACUGGGAAAGCAUAUCAAGAUGCCACGAGGAAUCAACAAUUUGAAAGGGAAAGUAAAAAUAAAGGGAAGGAAAAAUUUGAUCCUUCAACCUCAGGAAACAACGAUCAAAGCUUCGAUGAACAAAAAUGUGGUGCUAUCUGGGACAUUUUUCGGAGGCAAGAUGUUCCUAAGCUGGAACACUAUCUUCGGAGGCAUUACGGAGAGUUCAGGCGUGUCGUCCCUUUGCAGCAAGUAAUUAAAUCUUGAAUUUGAAAACAAUGUUCUACUCAACUUAUUCUGUUAUGGGGUUUAUCUCUCAUAUGGCAGUUACUAUUAUUUUUCUAGCAGAAUUCUGAAAAUCAAAAUUUUGUUAAGCUUUUGGUAUGAUCUUUUAUUGCCGUAGCAUAAGUAGACAGAUGUCUUUUAUUUUUCCAAAGUAUCGAUAUGUUUUGGAAUAUUACUAGUUUAUUUUUUCCCUCUAUUCGUGCACAGCUGGUUCAUCCUAUUCACGAGAAAGCAUUUUACUUAACAAUGGAGCAUAAAAGGAAGCUGAAAGAUGAAUAUGGUAUGUUUUUAUUGUGUUGUAAAGUGGAAUACGUGUGAAUUGCUAUGUAUAUUGAUUAUCUAUUUUUAUUAUGUUUUUUCUUGUAGGAAUUGAACCAUGGACCUUUGUCCAGAGAUUAGGCGAUGCAGUUUUGGUACCAGCUGGCUGCCCUUACCAAGCAAGAAACUUAAAGGUUUGAGUGUUUGACUCGUAUACAACUUCGUGAACGACGACUUCAAUUAGUUUCAGUCGAAUGUAAAUUUUUCGCUGUGAAUUUUGCAAUUAAUUUUUGUGUGCAUGUUCCAUCUUGCAGUCGUGUACGAGUAUGUCCAUCGACUUUGUUUCAGCUGAAAGCGUCGGUCAGUGCAUCCGCCUAUCAACGGAGUAUCGGCGUCUCCCAAAGAAUCAUAGUUGUAAGGAAGACAAGCUGCAGGUAUUUCAAAAAUAUGAUUGUAUUGUCAAUAAACAAAAUCAAAGAUAUAUAAUGAAUAAAAUUUGCCUGCUUGUAAGAAAAAUAAAGAUUGCGGAUGACAUCUAACGGCUCGUAAUGAAACAGGUGAAGGGAUUGGUUCUUAGUGCUGUCUGCCAAGCUGUGCAGUACGUGGACAAGAUUGAUGCGUAAGUCAUAUAUACAUAUGCUUGUUAAACAUAUGUCUUUGAUACGAUGUUAAUACAUUUUAUUUUAUUCUUUACCAGUAUUGCGCUAAGAAGUCCAUUUGCACCCCCCUUUGAGCAUGGGAACGUACGCCAAAAUCCAGCUCAGCAAGAGGUGAGACCUAGUAUUUUGCAAAUGAGGAGAGAGUUGGAGCGGAUGAAAUUGGCUCUUGUAACGAAAGGCCACCUUUUUCAAUCGCAUAUGAAAGACUAUCUCUUAAAAGAGAUUACGCUCCUCACGAACAAAAUAAACUCCACUGCUGGCUCUUCAUCUUAGUCACACCAUUUUCAAUGGUUAGCCUACUUGUUGAGUUAACAUGUCUUGCCUUAAUUAUUAUUUUGACAUUUUCAUCAGUGGAACUAUACUUUAUUUAUAUAAUUUUGAGCCAUACUUUUGUCCGAUUUCAUGAAUUUCGAAGGCCCUGAGAAUUUUCGAGUUGGUUUUGGCAUGAUGCAGGCUAAUGUUUCUGUUUUUUGGUUAUAGUAUUAAGUUUGGGAAAAGGCAAAUUGAUAUUUCUGUCUGCUAAUGUUGUGUUUGCUGAAUGCACAGGCCUGUUAGCAGUGGAUAUUGGGUUUAGGUGCUCAUGAGAAGUUCACGAAACGUAGUAAGGUACUAUCAAACCCGUCCGGUAUAUUUUAUAUCUUUCCAAAAUGUAUAUUGUUGCCAGCUAAGAUUGGUCAAUGCUGAAACGGUAGAUGAGCUGGCGUGGCUUGGCGUGGCUGGAUAAGGCACAAUUUAUUGCGAAUCGCUGCAUUGACUGCCGGCCUUAUCACGGUAGAUUUUCUCACCAUUAUAUAACACUCGUUUUCCUUCAUCCAUUCAUUCCCAUAUCUCCCAUCUCUCUCAUCCUCUCUCAUCCUCUCUCAGUUUUCUUCUCGUCGUUUUCUCAGAUAUUUCCCACCCCUCUUAUUUAGUUUUCGAAUGAUGANNNNNNNNNNNNNNNNNNNNNNNNNNNNNNNNNNNNNNNNNNNNNNNNNNNNNNNNNNNNNNNNNNNNNNNNNNNNNNNNNNNNNNNNNNNNNNNNNNNNNNNNNNNNNNNNNNNNNNNNNNNNNNNNNNNNNNNNNNNNNNNNNNNNNNNNNNNNNNNNNNNNNNNNNNNNNNNNNNNNNNNNNNNNNNNNNNNNNNNNNNNNNNNNNNNNNNNNNNNNNNNNNNNNNNNNNNNNNNNNNNNNNNNNNNNNNNNNNNNNNNNNNNNNNNNNNNNNNNNNNNNNNNNNNNNNNNNNNNNNNNNNNNNNNNNNNNNNNNNNNNNNNNNNNNNNNNNNNNNNNNNNNNNNNNNNNNNNNNNNNNNNNNNNNNNNNNNNNNNNNNNNNNNNNNNNNNNNNNNNNNNNNNNNNNNNNNNNNNNNNNNNNNNNNNNNNNNNNNNNNNNNNNNNNNNNNNNNNNNNNNNNNNNNNNNNNNNNNNNNNNNNNNNNNNNNNNNNNNNNNNNNNNNNNNNNNNNNNNNNNNNNNNNNNNNNNNNNNNNNNNNNNNNNNNNNNNNNNNNNNNNNNNNNNNNNNNNNNNNNNNNNNNNNNNNNNNNNNNNNNNNNNNNNNNNNNNNNNNNNNNNNNNNNNNNNNNNNNNNNNNNNNNNNNNNNNNNNNNNNNNNNNNNNNNNNNNNNNNNNNNNNNNNNNNNNNNNNNNNNNNNNNNNNNNNNNNNNNNNNNNNNNNNNNNNNNNNNNNNNNNNNNNNNNNNNNNNNNNNNNNNNNNNNNNNNNNNNNNNNNNNNNNNNNNNNNNNNNNNNNNNNNNNNNNNNNNNNNNNNNNNNNNNNNNNNNNNNNNNNNNNNNNNNNNNNNNNNNNNNNNNNNNNNNNNNNNNNNNNNNNNNNNNNNNNNNNNNNNNNNNNNNNNNNNNNNNNNNNNNNNNNNNNNNNNNNNNNNNNNNNNNNNNNNNNNNNNNNNNNNNNNNNNNNNNNNNNNNNNNNNNNNNNNNNNNNNNNNNNNNNNNNNNNNNNNNNNNNNNNNNNNNNNNNNNNNNNNNNNNNNNNNNNNNNNNNNNNNNNNNNNNNNNNNNNNNNNNNNNNNNNNNNNNNNNNNNNNNNNNNNNNNNNNNNNNNNNNNNNNNNNNNNNNNNNNNNNNNNNNNNNNNNNNNNNNNNNNNNNNNNNNNNNNNNNNNNNNNNNNNNNNNNNNNNNNNNNNNNNNNNNNNNNNNNNNNNNNNNNNNNNNNNNNNNNNNNNNNUCGCGCCUUUGACCCCCGCCCUUUCCCGGGAAGUUUUUUCCCCCAUUAAAAAAACCUGGUUUUCCUUAACCCAUUAAUUCCAAUUUUCCCCAUUUUUUUAACCCUUUUUAACCCUUUUAAAGUUUUUUUCUGGGGGUUUUUCAAAAAAUUGGAAAGUUUUUUUUUUGGUUUGGGAGGGGGGCUUCCCCCCCCCCCCCCCCCCCCCCCCCCCGGCCCUAGAUGUAUUCAACAUUUAAUUUUCCAUCUUCCAACUAUUUUAUCGGAUUGAUGAUUUUUGAUUUAUUCUGGUUCAAAAUCAGAUGACAUGUCGUUAAUUGAGAUACUCAAUUUAUUUUUGUUUUUGUUUUUGAUUUUGUACUUUCAUCCCCCCCCUCCCGAGUUGAUUAACUUAUCAAUUUCUUUCUGGCAAUAUUCAUUUCUCUGGAUAUUCUUGAAAACACGACAGCUUUUACUUUGGAUUAGAAAGAGUACUCAAAGAGAUCAUAUAUUUUUGCAUUUCGAUUUGCAGAUUAGUUUUCUACGACUAACUUUUGACUUUUGUGUCCUAGCUAUCUUGCUCCUCUUUCUGAUGACCCUUUUUUUUUCUCUUCUUUUUUUUAUUGUGAAGUUACCAAUGAGGGAAAAUUCAGACGAAGCGCCCCAAUCUGAAGGUAAAUUUCGUAAUUACAAUCCUGGCACUUCUCUACUAUGAUUUAUCCCGUCAAUUGAAAAAAAUGUAAUGUGAAAUAUGUGAUUGGUUACGACACCUUUGCUCGUUUUACGUUCUUUUGUUUGCUGGAUUAUUUACAAAUUAACUUUCUAAAAAUAACGAUGUUCUUCGUAUAGCUUAUUUCAUCAAUCAUGGUCUUAUUUCCUGUGAUCGUGUCUUGGUCGUGGUUUGCACUUCACAUUUCAAUUAACUCACAACGUGGCUUGUAAAUCUCUUUGUGGCCGGCCAACAUCUUCAAAAUGUCAAUACUCUGUUUGGCUCAAGUGGUUUUUCGUUCAUGAAUUUUUAGCCGUGAAGAUCUUUAUGUGCUCUCUUAAUGUUUUAUUGCAAUUUUAAUUCAUGAAUAUAUAUGUUGGUUCUACCCUUUUUAUCGGCUACGUAUAAUUUCUUAUUCCAGGGGAGAUACAUAUACCUAGUCUUGCAGAAGUGGAGAGGGAGUUGAAGAGGAUGAAACUGAUUCUCGAAACAAAAGGCCACCUUAUUGACCCUCAUAUGAAAGCCUAUCUUUUGCAAGAGAUUUUGAGCCUCCUUAACAAAGUAAGCACCUCUGCCGAGUCUUCUACGUCUCAGUGACACCAUAUCUACCGAUGCGUUAAUGUUUUUCAUACUAUAAUUUUGAGCAAUAUUAUUUUUUCUUCGUUUUUUUGUGAGUUGUAGUGAGUUUGGCUAAUCAGCUUUGACAUGAAUGAACUUUUGUUUUUUAUUAUAAUAUAUAUCUCUAAUUUCGUAGCAAUAUGUUGUAGCAGUUUCAUCUUUUUCCUACUUUGUAAUUCGUACCAUGAUUUAAUUUUCUUAAUAAUAUAAAACGGAUGGAGUAAAUGUAUUGAAAACUGGAUCGGACGUUGACCCGAACGAGCUAUUGAAUCACGGUUGGAUCGGGUUUUUUUUUUCAUUUUUUAUUUUAUAAUUAUUUACAUAAUUUUAAUAGUAAAUAAAACAUAUUUCUUUCACACACACAUUAACUCAUUUGCAAUUAAAAUGUAAAGCAAACUCAAUUUUCUUUUACACACACACACACCAUAUCAAAAUACACAUAUCAAAUCGAAUCAUUUCAAAUAUUAUAGAAAUUAUAAUUAAAAAUAAGGUUUAUUACACUACACCAAAAAGGCUAUUUACUAACAGAUAUAUCCAUUACAAAUAAUUUUUCUAACGGGAUAAAACCGUUAGAAAUAGUGCGUGAGAAAUUUAAUCGUCUGUAUUUCCAACGGAUAUAAACCGUUAGAAUAAUUAACAAACUGUUAGAAAAAUAAAUAUUUCUAACGGUUCUUAUCCGUUAGAAACAUUGUUGUAACGGUUUGUGUUUUAACACUUACUUCUAAAUUCCUAACGGAUAUGGCCGUUAGAAAAAUUAAGAGAAAAAAAACAAAAAAAAAAGUUUAAAUAAAAUAAAUAAUAUUAUAUAUAUAUAUAUAUAUAUAUAUAUAUAUAUAUAUAUAUAUAUAUAUAUAUAUAUAUAUAUAUCUCUAUAUAUCUAUAUAUAUAUAUUGCUCUGAAUUUUGAAAUAAAUUGCAAUUUAUAAAACAUAAGGUCUCUAUAAUUACAUAAAAAAAUGAAUUUGAAGUGUAAAAAAAUCGAUGUAUACAAUCCACCAUUACAUUUCACUAUCCAUAAAUCCAUACAGUAACCACAAGUCCUUAAGACUCAUGCUAAUCUAUACCAAACAGAGAACUUAAACACAUAUACAUACUAACCAACCAAAAGAAAAAUAACAUAUCCCUUGAACCUGGUAUCAUAGAAUUCCUACCUAUUAAGCUGUUAAGAUCACCAACUCAACCCAUAACCCAUACCGGGGUGUUCCCCCCAGUUCCGAUAUUCAGAGCAUUUUGACCUGAAUCCAUAAACAAGAGAAAGUUAUGUGAGAUAAAAAUGCAAUUACCUGGUAUUUUCUUAUCACGUUGAACAAAAUGACAUGAAAUCAUGGACAAAGAACAAAGAACUAUAGAUCUUAUAACUCUUUUUGUUCAUUUAGCAUUCCAGAUGUAAUACAACAAAAAUCGUCAAAAAUAAUGAAAAAUGUUAGUACAAAAAUAUUACACAGACAUGAUAAAACACAUUGUCUCCACAUUAUAUAUACAACAAAAAAUGCAAGAUUAUUACCUGUAUGGCGUCCUACCUGCGGCACCAGGAAAUAUAAGUUAGUAAAACUCAAUAGUAAUAAUACAUGAUACUAUGCAAUAGUAAUAAUACAUGAUACUGCAACCUGCCAAACUUGAUCAAUAGGUGAUGGUGGUCUAAGAAUUGGACAUGGUGCCACAUAAUCAACAAAUUAUCAAAAGGCUGUAGAUGUAAAUUAGAAUUUCAAUAAUAUGUAUUUGAGAUUCCUACCUUCCAUAUAACCAAAUCAGCAUAAUCUUGGAAAUGGAAAUAAAACUUCUUCUUCAGGCAUUGCAUUCUUGGACAAACAAACAAAUACAUUACACAUAAGCUGAUAGGUAAUGUUAGGUGAAAAAAAUUGUUUUCUUGAGAAUUAAAAGCAGAAAAUAUCAAGACAUUAUAAUAAAAACUCAAUGGCUCACAUUAGAUAAGUCCAGCAGAUUUUAAUACAGGACAUAAAAAAAACGAGUUCAAAAAUCUUUAUGAUUUUCAUCACUACUUAUACGACUCACCAAUGUUGGGUCAUUUUCUUCAUCCAUAUGAAUGAGAGAAUGCGAUGUUUCAAACUACUAAAAAAGAAGAUUCAGGAAUAUGUUAGAUAUGAUCCGAGGCAUUCAAUACUUUAGCUGUUCUACAUUUGCCCGAGUUGACAUACACUGAAAUUUAACAAUAAAACUGCCCAUCAAAACCAACACAGAUAACUAAGUUAUCAUCAAGAAACUGUAAAAUGAAAUAAAAUUAUAAGUUCGACUUUUCCCCAAGUUUAAAUAGACUGCAAUUUAACACAAAAAAAAAAAUGCCCAUCAAAAUAAACCAAAUAACCAAGUUCUCAACAAGAAACUGUAAAAUGAAAUAAAAAUCUAAAAAGGAAUAAAAAAUAGAUCAAUAUUCAUUAAGCUCAUCUUUUCCUUAUGGUGUCAAUUUAAGAGCGUGUGACUAUACCAGUUGCCUGAUCACUGGAAUCGGGGAAAAGCUCAUCAUCUUCACGGCAAUAUUCUCCAACCGACCGCACAUCAACAAGAUCGCCAGAGUCGAAUCUGAAGAAUCGGAUUCUCUGAUUUGCUGAUUUCAUCAAAUCAAAAGCGAAAAAGUUUAGAACCUAUCACAAAAAAAGAUCUGAAAACGCUUCCAAUUUGAAGAAUAUGCGACUAAAAAUUAAAAAUUACCAUAAAUCAACGAACAACUUUUGCUGAAGCAUCUGCAUCCAAUAUUGUUGUUCGCCGUCGAAUUGAAAAGGUGUAUUGUGGGUGGUGGUGCAAGAGAACCGAUAACCCUACACGUUCUUUCUCACCCCAUCGGUUUUCUUUUCCUUCACCAGACUAGAAGAUAGAGAAUGGAUUGGUUUUUAAUAAAUAUUAAAUAAUGAAAAUUCCUUAAUUUUAUUUUUAAUGUAAAUAUUAUAUAAUAUAUUAUAGAUUUAGUUCAUGUAUUACCAACGCAUACCAACCGUUAGCAAUAACUUUUCAAUUGUUACUAAUUUAAUACAAAUAAAUUAUUAUUAAUUCUAACGGAUAAGUAAAUUUUCUAACGGAUAUAGCCGUUAACAAUUUCUAACGGCAUAUAUCCGUUAGAAGAUACAAACUUAUGCCGUUAGAAAAAUCUCCUUUUGGUGUAGUGUUAGCGAGUCCCCUCAAUAUUUAUUUCAAUAAUUUUUUUUUUAAUAAAUUCGUCUUUUUUUUCUUGGAAGAUUUAUCAUCUCGUAAACAACUACAAAUUACAAUAAUCAACUAUACUUACUAAAUUGUAAUGGACUACAAAUUUCAGUAAUCAAUUACAAAAUUAUAAUACGACUACAAUUUAUAACAAAGACAAAUACAAAAACAGUUCAAUCCAACUACAAAUUUUAGCAACCAACUACAAGCUACAGUUUAUAGUAAUUCACUACAAUUUACCGAAAACAACGACAAAUUCAUCAAAACCAACUACAAAAUCAUCGAAACCAUCUACAAUAUUAUCGAAAUGUACUACGAAAAUAGCGAAAUCAAUUUCAAAAGAAUAUAUUAUCUUGUACCGCGCGACUAAAUUGUAAGAGAAGGGUUGCAACCAAUACCAAACUCCAGCCUCACCGUGUCAAAACCAUCGACGCUACCAAGACUUAGAUAGCGACCAAUACCAAACCCCAUAGUCGUCUCGCGAAAAUAUUAACACUGUUGCGCAAAAAACAGUAAAAAAAACGCCACCAAUCGUGUUGUACCACCUAAUCCGCGGAUAUCUAUAUAUCACCAUCUCGUUGUUGCCGGAAUAGAUGAACGUAUUAAAAUGUCGUGGCUUUGAAGUGUAAGAAGAUCACCCUUGGAAAAGCACAGUUGUGGAAGACGUUCAGGUGGUUUCCGUUGUCGGAGAUUUCAUCAUAGUCGCCCAAGCCUUCGCCGCCGACCUAAUGCAACAAAUGAUUAUUUUUGUGAUUUCCGCCUCGGAUUGAAGAUUAGACGAUGAGCAGACAGAGAACGUGUAAAGAGAGAGAGUUGUGAAGACCGUGAGAAAGAAAAUUUUCGAAGUCAUAAGAAGUUGUAAGUUUUGUAUAGAAUAUGAGGGUAUAUUGAAUAUUUAUCAAAUAAUGUAUUUAUAUUUAAUUAAAAUAUAAAAUCAAGGGUCUUACUAAGAUGAAAAAAAAUAAUGGACUUGGAGAAAUGUAAAUGUGUUUUGAGGGUCUCCCUAGUUAAGCCUUAAAACAACAUGUCUUCCAAUUUCAAGUAAACAUAUUUCGAUUAACUUUUUUUUCAACUGGGCAAUAAAAAGACGUCGUUUCGGCCAUUUUAAUUCUUUAUUUUUUUCAUUAAAAAAUCAUAAUUUUGAAAAAAAAAUCGGAUUUUCACUUAGGUUAUGAUACUACGGCUCAACCGGUUAAAACCAAACAUGACAAGACAAUGGUUCACUGUUUAACCAGUCCAACCGGUCGGUUCUGUCAGGAAAUUAAAACACCGAUAUUAAUACAGUUUGAUAAAUUUCCAAACCAUCACGCAGCUGCUUAUGCAGUGCCUUUUUAUUUUAUCUUUUCUAGUACAUAGUUUAUUCAACAAAAAAAAUAAAAAAUAAUAUAGCUUAUUAUCAUUAUUUUCUUAUCUUAGGUUUGGAGCAUUUAUUUUUAGAGAAAAUUAAAUCAUGCUACGAAUUAGAAAGUAGGAGAAUAACAUGAUUCAUUACUACUUUAAACUUAACGAUGAACUAGUACCAGCUUUUAUUAUAAUAUUAGUUUAAAUUUUGUAUACUGAACAAUGUUAGAAGUUGUGCUAAAAUUCAAAACAAUGAUAAAUAUUGGAAUAAAUUGAAUAACGGGUUUCAAGCGUGAUUCAAAUUGCAAUCGAAGUCUCUUCCAUGGUGUGAUUUGAUGAAUUGUUUUUAGGUUUUUCAACUUGGAAAAAUAAUAGUAAGGUUUAACUGCAAUAAUUGUUAGUUAAAGGGGUUAAAGUCAUAUUAAUGCAUAGUUGGAGGGGUUGAAAUUACAUUGAUGUUUACUUUAAAGGCGUUUGAACUUUAAUUAGUUUAGCAAGUGAUCAAAUAAAAAGGCCUUUUCCGAUCAAUUGUAAUCUCUCCAAUCCCCAGAUUAAACCCCGUCGGUGGCAGUUGCAAUAUCGAUGCCCACCGUCGGCGCCGCCGCCACCGCCACCGGCCGUUAUCCCUCGCCGUAUUCUUUCUCGGCGCACGGUAAUUGGAGGAUGGAGCUGGUGAAGAGGAGAUGGGAAAAUAACAGGCAUUCCAACAAUACGACUACUGUAUUGGUUAAUGUGCUCCGGCUAUCUUCGCCGCCGUGGUUAUGGUGGUGGGAGAUAUACGGAGUUAAUUGGAUGUGGAAUUUCUUCAUAGGAUGGCUAUUUCCAGAUUGUAAGCCAUUAAAUUUACUGUUUUGAUGAAUCAUAUGAAAAUGCAAUUGCCUUUAAUUUCUCUAUGCUUUUUUUUGAUAGCAAAAUUUCGAGUACUUUGGUCGAAUUAAUUGGGGAACCUAAUACCUAAUUGAACUCUUGGGAGAUUCAUAUUUCCAGUGGUUUUUUUUUUUCCGUUUCCCUGUGAAUUAUUAUAUCAAUGUAUAAGUAUAAGUGAUUAUAUGAUUUUUUCGUAAAAAAAGAAGUGAUUAUAUGAUUAAUACCUAGGAUUAACACCAAUUGUUGCUCCUUAUUUAGAACUCGUAUUCUCUAUAGGAAAUUACUCAUCCAAAUAUUUAUCUCAUCUUCUUUGUAACUUGAUGGUUCCUACUAAUUUUGCUUCUCAUUAUUUGAAGGAAUAUGGGGCAUGAUCGAGAGCUGGUGAGAGAUGUAUUUUCAGUAUCAGGUAAUAUUUUAAUCUGGAUGUUGAAGAGUAGCCUUAGUAGUGUUUUGUUGAGUGUCAAAUAAUCAGAAAGUGCUUCAUCUGAUAUCAUAUAUAUGGAAGAGCAAAUAUCGCGGAAAUGAUUGCGUGACUUAGUUAUAUGAAAGAGCAUCUCGCUAUUGAGUUAUAUUAUGUUUUCAAUUACUUUUUUUCAAGUAUUGAUCAAAUAUAAUACACACAUUUCAAGUUACGAGAUGAGUUUCCAGGAUAUACUAUGAUUAACUUGAAUAAGUUCAAGAGAAAUUUUGUUUUAGGAAAACAAAAACUUAGAAAGAAAACGAGACCAGUCAAGAAGCCCUUGUACACUAAGAAGCCCUUGUUGUAGUUUCUUAAAAAAAAACAUUGGUCUUAUAAAUGGCCUACAACCCGUUCGCAAAGAGACUUGAACCCUCGACUUAAUACAAGAUAACAUACUUAAGAAAUGCAAGAUAAUCAUCAAAUAGGACUCUUUUGUGUGUCAUGGUAAUAAAACAAUUGAAAUUCUGGUUGCCUAAAAAUCCACUGAUUUCCACAGUUUUAAUAUGGCAAUGAUUUAUUGGUCACGAUGUACAGUCUUGAAUAUAAUAACUAAUUUGCUUAAGCAUUUAAGGAGUGCACCAACAUUAGAAGCCGCUAUUCAAUAAUAUUUUGUGAUCAUUUAGACGAUAAAGUAGUCGCAAAAGAGCUUUUUUAGCAAUGGUCUUGGGUUGUUCAGUCUUUGAGUUUUUGCUUUUUUCAUACAUAGGUAAACUAAAUUAAUGGCUCAAGGAAGUUCACAAUAGACUGUAUGGUACAUUUCAUAUCUCGCCAAAUGUCAUUUUGCUGCCAGCUAUGGUUGGUGUAAUUGCUAAUAUGUAAAAUUAGCUGGCAUCGUCACUGGAUAUGAAGCAAUUUAUUAGGGGUCGAUACAAUCAAUGCUGACCUUAUCGGAUUUACUGGCGGACUUUCCCACAAAUAAAUUUUACCCUACCCUCCCUACUCCCUAUUCCCAUUCUACUUUCUCACACAUUCUCUGCAUCUCUCAAUACCUUGUUCAAUUUUCGAUCUCCAUCUCCUCAUUUUCUCUUAUCAAAGGUUCAAACUCAGAGGAGUUUGUGAUCUGAUUUAGGUGAUUUUACUUCAUUUUGUGUUUGUAUGAUGCCUAUGUUUUUAUGUUAUUUUUUGUUGGUUUUCCUUUUUUUCUUUCUUCGUAAACUAGAUCAACUGAGUGGUUACUAAUUUUCCAUCACUUUCAUGUUUCGUUUCAUGACUUACACGAUAUCUUUUAUUUUAGAUUAGAAAGAACAUGUGUUUGUUCUCAUCUUGAUUUUGAAGAUAGAUUUUGGACUAGUUAUUUUAUUCCUCCUUUUGGUGGUUGUUUUAGUGGUUAUGUUGUUCAAACUAACAAUUUUGGAAAACUUUUGUUACGUAAAUAAGGUGGGUUUAAUCUCUGCUUGUAAUUAAAACAUAAAAUAAUAAAUUACAAGUAGAAUGGAGCAACCCUUAUGAAGAAACCAAUAACUACUAUGAUAUUUACUUUGCAGUUUGUUUCUACUUGAUUAUGAGCCAUUUGAUUAAGCUGUUAAACUUGUACUCAUAUAUUCUCGAAUAUUAUUCUUUUGUCUCUGCUGUAACCCAUUUCUUCAAAUAAAUGUACAAAUGCUUAGUGGUUUAAAUUUGGUUGUUAUUCUCUGCUAGUCUUUAGGUUACAAUACAUGCAUGUCUUGAAAUAACUUCAUUCUCUCAUAGAUUUUGUAACCUUUAAAAAAUAUUUUCCAGCGUAGGCUAUCUAAACAUAUUAACAAUUUAAUUUUAAUUUUUGUAAUAUUUAUUUAACAGAUUAUGGAGAAUUAGGACCAGUUUCAUUGUCAGUGUGCAUAAGUAGUAAGUAGCAAUAAUAUAAAAUAAUUUUCUUCUUUCUAAAAUGUCCUUAAGGAAUGCUAAUUCUAGAUUUUCUUCCUGGAUUACUCCAAUUUACAGGCAUGGCAAGUUAAAAAGUUUUUUUGGUCGGUGAAAAGGAAAAUUAUUUAUAUAUUCUGUUGAUAUGCAUAAGUAGUAAGUAGCAAUAAUAUAAAUAAAUUUCCUAGAAUGUCCUUAAGGAAUAUAAUUCGAGAUUUACUUCCUGGGGCCCUCCAUUUUACACGCAUGGUAAGUAAAAACGUUUUUGGUCGGUGAAAAGGAAAAUUAUUUAUAUAUUUUGUAAAUCUGCAUAAGAUUAUACUAAUAAGCAUAAAAUUGCAAUAGUCAGUAUUAGAUUGCAGUAAGCAGUAUCGGAUUACAGUAAUCAACACAAUUUUCCUUUUUUGCUGGUAAGACAUCCUUAUUUGGUCUUCCCUGGAACAAUUAUGCAUACAUUUUUGCCAUUGCAGUUAAGAGAACGCGGUGCCUGAUUGAGAAAACGAUUGAAAAACAAGAUUUACAAAGACAAUUAGGAGUUGAAAUGAUGCCGUGGAGAAGUACAAAUGAAGAUGCAUCUUCUGCUGGAAAUAUGCAGAUGAACGAACCCAACUUAAAGGUAAAUUAGUAAUGUUAAUUGUGACAGAUCUAUCUGAAAAAAAAUGUGCCUUCCGUGUAUUCUGUAUAUCAAUCAAGUUUUGAAAUCUAUCAUAUCCUUGACCAUUACAUAACUAUGAACAACAUUUUAUUCAAAAGUGAGGACAAUGAGUUCCUGUGUUAAUACUUUUUUCUUUGGGUGUGGCAGAGGAAAAGAAGUGAUUCAAAUAAUUGCCAUCAAUGUCGCAGAAACGACAAAGGAAGAGUCGUAAGAUGCACAAGGUGCAAUAAAAAGGGUUACUGUAUUACAUGCAUCACAAAAUGGUGAGGAAUUGUGUUUUUUUUUUCGUUCCCAUUUUUCAGCUCUAUAUUAUGGUACUAACGUCUUUUCUUAUAACAAAAAUCAUUGGUUGGAAACAUGUUUUGAAGUAAAUGAAUCAAAUGUUUCCACACUAGAAUUAUUUCCUGCACCCUCAUGCUUAUAGUUAUAAAUGUGGAAGAUAAACAAUUACACGAUGACAUUCUUUUUUGUUCGCCAACUAUUGCAUAUUUUUUCUCUCCGUGUACUGAUAGCAUGAAAUAAUUAGUUGCUUUGUGUUUUCUGCCAUAAUAUUUGGUUAAAGUUUCAUCUGCACUACAACUAUUCAGUUUCACUGUUUGAACAAUAUUGUAUGAAUAAGAUUGUAUUUAAUUCCAUCAUGUCAAUCAUAUCAGUUCUGUUUUGCUUUUGUUGCUUAUAUGUUGUGGUAUACCUUAAAUCUUUGUUUUAUCUUUUCUCUUCAAUGUCAAAUUAUUUGGUAAACUGCUUCAUGUUUUUUGAGACUGAAAUGUACUUAUAAUUUCUGAAUUGUUCUUUAGCAAACUUGAUUUUCGAUUUUACUGCCUAAACGGUAUAUUUAUUAUCUUCUCUUUGGAAGAUGGCAGUCCAUGCCCUUUCCGGUUGAGGCAUAUCUUAUACUCAUUUUUACAGAACUUUGCUUAAAUGAAUCAUCAUGCUUAUAUUGAUGUUUUUUCGUCAAUGUUCUUGCAUAUAUAUUUACUAUAUCUUUGUGGUAAUUACAGGUAUGCAGGGAUGCAUGAGACAUAUUUUGCUGAAGCAUGCCCCAGUUGUCGCAACAUUUGCAACUGUACAGCUUGCUUACAGUCUGAUGUGGCUAAUCAAGUUCGUAUUGAAGUACACUUAUCUUGAUUUUAUCUUGAUAUAGAAUUAUAUAUUUUUUAAUUAUUUUAUUGUUCUUGCAUGUUAGGAAUUGGUGAUCCCAGACCUUUGCAUCAGUGACAAGACUCAGUACUCAAAGUAUAUUGUUCGAGUACUUCUUCCGUUCUUGAAGAACUUUGUCACUGAGCAAAAUAUGGAAACAGACCACGAGGCCAGAAUUCAAGGUAAUUUUAACUUUUGUUAGGAGUUUUGAAGUUCACCCGGAUUACACUUUUUUUUUGGAAGCUUAGUUUGCAUUCGCUGCCUGAAAAGAAAGUCAAAGAGUCUUAGAAUGGUGUUUAAUGCGAUGUAGAACUCGUCAAUAUCUUCAUUUUUGGAAAUUUCAGGGACAUCUAACAAUAUUAUUUUCUGCGGUGUAGAAGUAUUAAGCAUAUCUAAAGUUCAUGGUUACGACUUGUUUCCAUAUCAAUAAUAGUUUCACUGCUGGAUGAAAUACAAUAUUUUUUUGGUUGGACAGGCUUAUCGGUUGCAGGACUACGGCUUCCCAAAGCAAACCAUAGCCAUGAAUAUCAACUGAAAAAAUGGUGGAUAUUUCGAACUAAUUUCUUUUCUUGAUAAUUCUCUGCUCCAAUAUGCAAAAUGUUGAUUUUAGAACUUAUUAUGUGCAGCGGUAAUUGCAAAUCUUCAGUAUUUGAUAUUCACCGAAGCUGCCCAAACUGUUCAUAUAAGCUUUGUGCGAGCUGCUGCCAAGAGAUUAGAAACGGCUUUGUUUCUGACUGUAAACUGACAAAUAACGGUGACAUUAUUUGUCCACCUCAAGGCAUGGGGGGCUGUGGUCCGAGGAUUCUGGAGUUGAAGUCCACGUAUCCAGUUAACUGGAUAUCGGAACUGCUAACAAAAGCAGAAUCCGUAGCUGAUGGUCAUGAACCUUCUGCACGAGCAUGCUCAUGCUCGGGAUACAAUCAUGGGAGUGAAUCGGAUAACUUCCAUUGUCCCAUUGUUGAGGGCGUUGAAACAGCGGACCAAAAACAUUUCCAAUGGCACCUAUAUAAAGGUGAGCCUGUAAUAGUCCCUAACGUCCUCAACAGAACGACUGGGUUGAGCUGGGAACCGUUAGUCAUGUGGCGCGCCUCUCGCAAAAUUAAAAGCACCCAUGACUUGCGUAUUCUGGAAUUCAGCGUAAUGAACUGCUUAAAUUGGUGUGAGGUAAGUCAACUUCUCUAGUAUGUUUUACCCUAUCAGAAACGCAUAUAAUCCGGAUUAUGUGAUUUGGAUUCCUCAUUUCUCAUCCUUUUGUUAGAUUAUCUAAUAAUUAAUUUUCUAAUAUAGCCUUACAUCGGUUUACUUUUGUUUUCGUGUUGCAAUAAUUUGAUUUUGGGACUAUGACAUGCAGGAAACAAUUAGCAUACACCAAUUUUUCAAAGGAUACACUCAAGGCCUUUGGGACAGUGAAGGUCGGCCCAAAAUAUUAAAGUUGGAGGAUUGGCCUCGAACUGAAUCAUUUGCAGAACGACUGCCGAGGCAUUACCAAGAGUUUGUCAAAUGCUUGCCUUUCAAGCAUUAUACUCAUCAAGCUGGCUACCUCAACAUGCCAGCUAAAACACCAAAGAAAUCUUUGAAGCCAGAGUUGGGUCCAAAGAUAUGCUUUGGUUAUGGAGUCGAUGAGCACCUUGGCUUUUGUUCCGCAACCAAGCUCCAAUAUGCUCUUUCAGAUAUGGUACAUUUUUUCUACAUUUUUUCUGUUAUAUCUAUCUUUAUUAAAUUGAGUGUUAUUUUCCCAUUAGACUUCCUAGUGCAUCGUUAAAUCCCCCGAGGAGAUUUAGCGAUGUGUUAGCAUCUUAUGUGGAUCUUAAGGAUUGAUAUUGGCGAAUUUUCACCAAUCCCCAAAUAUAUUGAUUCCACAAGCAAUCAAUGUUUUUUUUUUUUUUUUUUUAUUUGGGAGUGUCAUUAUGUUAAUGUUCUUAGGAAUUUGAUAUUGGUGAGCUACUACCAACCACUAAAGUUCAUGUUUUAGAAAGAAUUUUAAUACAAGAAAACUUAAUUUUUGCAAUGCAUAACUAGCACUCCUAAAUAGGAUGUUUUUUUUUUUUUUUUUUUAUGAUUUUUGUUUCUUAUGUGGAACAAUCUUUGUUUUUGUUAAUCUUAAUUGUUGACUCAUACGCAU